UUUUUUUAUCUCUAGAUAUUGGAAUUCUAAGGCAAAAGUAUGAGAUGGAUCAAGGAUUGAUGUAUUCAUUGUUUAUAUGCAUACUUGAUGAACAAGGGGUAGGCAAUGGUAUUUUGUCCAACCGACCGUCGCUAGAGCAAGUGGCAAAGGGCUUGGUGGUUGGUACCCAAGAUCCCAUGUUCGAAUCCUAGUUGAUUCACAUUUUCAGCUAAGUUUAUUUCUAAAUGAAAUAAACGAAGCGGGUAGCGUGCUACCUAUCUCUCAAAAAAUUAGUAUUUUGUUCAGAGUGUGGAUAGAAGUGAAAUAAAUUAGCAAAGUUUAGGGUCUUAAAGGUGUCGAACUUAAAAGUUCGAGGAUCGAACUAAAAUUUGACUAAACUUUGGAGAAUUAGUAGUGCAAUUUAUGGUAGAAGUAACUAUCUAUUAAUAAUUUAUAACAAGAUAAAUAGCAUCACUAAUCCCUCAUUUUUUUAAAAUCAAGUUUCAUUAUGACAUUUGAAAUCUUAUACUCUUUGAAUUGUUUCACUCUAGUCAUUAUUCUUAUGUGUUAUGAGGGAAAAAAUUACUCUACAUUCAUGCACAAUGCCACCAUUGUUCUCUUAUCUUUUGUUUCAAUUUUACUGUUAAUUAUAUCUAAAAAUUAGAUUGUUAGGUUGAAAAUAUUAUAGAUUGACAGAGGGCCGGUAGAUUCAUGGUACACAAAUGCACAAAUGAAUUAGUGGUAGCCCAUAAUUGUUAACAAUUUUUGUAAGGAUUAAAGUAGAAGCUACAAAUUUGAACUUAAAAAGUUACGAAACCAAAAUUAAACUUGACUAGAAUAAUGCAUUCUUUGAAGUUCUAAACCAAAAUUUAACUUGACUAGAAUAAUACAUUUUAUCUGGUAUUGCUAUAUUACUCUCACAUUUUUGUCUUUCUAUAUUAUUGCUCUGUUGGCAAAUUUAUAUAAUUAACUGUAAUUCGAUCUUCAAGUCAUUUUAUACUGUUGAUGUACUAGGUUAUUAGCAAAUCUUUGUGAUUGACUGUCCAAAUUAGAUAUUAUAUUCGGCCUUCAAGUCACCGUUGACGUGUUAGCAAAUCUAUGUGAUUAACUGUCCAGAGUGAGCAUUAUAUUCGAUUAUUAAGCUAUUUAUUCGAAAAAAGAUAAAUCACCUCGUAGAUAAAAUAUGAUGUGCUAUCAAAUCAUAGAAGUCACAAUUUUUCAGAAGCAAAAAAAAAAAAGAAAAAAAAAAGAAGCUUUCUAAAUCUUUAUUUUGAAUAAGUUAUUAUUAAUAUUGUAUUCUGUUAUAUCUACCAAAUACUUUAUGCUUCCUGAGUAAAUUAAAAAAGUAAAUUGAAUAACAUGUUCAUACAUUCCAACAGGGUCGUAGAAGUUAAAGAUGGUGUCAACUAAAGAAUGUAAAGGGGUAAAGUUCAAAAAAGUCUGUAGUUGAGGAGGUUUCCAAACAAAUUUCUUGCCUAAAUUUGAAUUUGUAUGCAGAUCAGCCCAUACUAUCUGUAAGAAGCUGGCUUUUGGGUUCCUUACACUUCUUUCGGCCCAAAACUGCGCUUCGGAUCAGCAGAAGCUGGGCCAAUACAGGGUCCACACUCUACUGCAUUGUGAGUUCUUCUAUCAUUAAAUAUAUAUCUAAUUGUUCUAGAAUGUUCUGAGAUAGGUUUUCAGUAUAAAAAUGUAUAGAACUUAUCUCAACUAUCAACCGUUUUGAUUUAUCUUUUUAAUUAUCUGAUUUGAGUCAAUCAUUGACUCUUUAACACCAAAAUUUGAAUAUUCUGUUCAUCUUUACGGAUUUAAUUUAGUAUAUUUUAUAUAAUUUAUGUAACUAUAAAUUCAUUAAGGUAAACGAUAGGCUUAAAUUUAUAUCAGAAUGGCCACUAAAUGAUUUAAAUCAAACAAAAUGAAAGAUUAGAUAGUAAACUCAAAAUUUUGAAAGAUUAAGUAGUUGAAUCAAAUAGUUAAUAGUUCAGAUAAGUUUCAUAUUUUUUUUCAACUUGGUUUCUGAUUUUCUGAUGAUGUUCUUAAUUGAGCAGAUUUGGACCUUGAUUGAUAAAUUCACUAAAUCUAAUCACCAAUUUCUUACUAAAUUUACCUAUAUUUUAUUUUAUUUUUGAGAAGUGCACCAUAAUUCCCAAUUACUGCCUUUCAAAGGCAUAGUUUUAAGUCCAGGGCAUCUUGUCUUGGGGCUUAUUUGCAAAUCUCAUCUUUUCUUGUUAAACAUGGAUCUGCUUCUAUCAUCUUACUCUCUUUUUUUCUUUUUCCCUUCCCCUUAUUCUAGAGAAAUAUUAUUUCUUAUUCUAGAGAAUAAAAACAAAAGGAGGUUUGGACUCUCUCUCUCCCUCUCUCUCUCUCUCUCUCUAUCCUCUUGGAGUGCUAAAUUUUUAUUAUAUUAUUAUUAUUAUUAUUAUUAUUGAAGCAGUGACUAGUGAAUAGUGUGAUUCAGAGGUGGGGUAGGGUGGGGUGGCGACUAGAGAACAUUUAUAAGGGACAGUGGAUUGUAGCUCAACACAUUUAUUAAAGAGCCCCAGAGUCCCAGGUACACUGCAGUGUUGGUCACCAAGCUAGCCCCUAGAGAGAGAGAGAGAGAGAGAGAGAGAGAUACAGGAGCCUAUAAAAGUUUAGGGACUAAUAAUGCAAUUAACCCUAAUUUCUCUCUGGUGUAUAAACUUCAUGUGGCCCAUGGAAUAACGACCGAUUCGUUUUCUGGAUCUCGGACGUUGAACUCGUGGCUUCGAUAAAGUCAUCGUCGGUGUUGCGAGAUCAUUUGAACUCCGUAGGAUAGCGAACUGAACUUGUGGAGAUGUUGACCAAGUCAGUCAUUGAUCGAGUCAAAUCAGUUUUCUGGUUGCGGAUCGGUUUUCGGACUGACCCUCAAGUGCGCCACGAUCUAACAAUUCGGUUGAGAAGGAAUCGAUUCAACCGGAUUCUUCUUCGAUACGAUAACCCGAACAAAGGUUUAGGGCAGACUAGUCUGAAAGAGCCGAGUGGGUUGUGAUAGGAAUUGAAAACUUACAAUGAUUAUACUACUCCUAAUCGCUAACUACUACUAGAAAAGCUCUUAAAGUGCAGGAAAAGAAAAAUUACAAGAGUAUUCUACUCCUAAAAACAGAAAAAUACUGGAAAUGGCAUGGUCUUUUAUUCGUAAGCGAGAAAGAUUCUUAUUUUAGAUAUCUUUGCAUUAUUUAUAGUACUGCUGUCAGCUUGCAGUUACCGGGCGACUCACGUCGUGGAGAGAACGUUACAGUCGCCUCUUUGUUGGUCGCCGAAAUUACUUCCAUGUUUCUCGCCCACAUUCUCAUCCGUUCCCGCCUAGGGGCUCCUCGUCUUCAACGACUCUUGAUGCACCACGUGUCAUAUUUUAAUUUAUCCACACCACUUAAACACACUUAUCAAACUGCGCAUCAGCUAGUACUAUUUUUCUUGUGCCAACAAAGUCUUGCUUAUAAUUGUAUGAAAAUCGACCUUUCAAUUUUAAUAGGAUGCAGAGCUAACUCAAAUUUGUGAAACUAAUAAAUUUCUCGCUCUCCGGCGCCAGGCUUUUGGCAUCCAAACAAACUCCAGCGUCGGCCUACAAUUACCCGGCGACUCGUGUCGUGGGGAGAACGUUACAGUUGCCUCUUUAUUAGUCGCGGGAAUUACUUCCACGUUUCUCACCCACGUUCUCAUCCGUUCCCGCCCAGAGGCUUCUCGUCUUCAGCGGCUCUCGGUGCACCACAUGUCAUAUGUUAAUUCGUCCACGCCACUUAAACACACGUACCAAGUCGCACACCAAACUCUUGCUUAUAAUUGUAUGAAAAUCGAUCUUUCAAUCUUAAUAGAAAGCAGAGCUGACUCAAAUUUGUAAAACUCAUAAAUUUCUCACUCUCCAGUAGGGCUGGCAAACGAGCGAGCCGGCUCGUGUUCGACUCGUGUUCGGCUCGAUAUUCGGCUCGCUCGAGCUCGACUCGAAAUUAAAUGAGCCGAGCUUGAACAAAAUAAAAGGCUCGAAAUUCAUUUCAAGCCGAGCUUGAGUAUUACUCGGCUCGUUCGAAUCAGGCUCGAAAAGCUCGAAAAGCUCGAAUAUAUAUAUAUAUAUAGGCUGGGGUUACUAUACUCUUAUGAGUAUAGACCCCCUUGUACUCAUAAAUUUUUAACCGUUGAUUGAUGGAAUGUGUGGUUAAGAUGAUGGUGGUCCCUAUUUAGAAUGAUAGUGGUCCCCUAGGGUUGAAUGGGUAGUUGGUUAAAUAGUAUGAUCUAAUGGAUAAAAAUGAUUAAUGGAAUAAAUCUAAGGGUCGAAAACUUAUGAGUAUAAAGGAGCCAAUACUCAUAAAAGUAUAGCAGCUGGACUCUAUAUAUAUAUAUAUAUAUAUAUAUAGUAGGGCUAGAAUACUUUUACAAGUAUCACCCAAGUGAUACUUGUGUGUUUUUAGCCCUUGGAUGGAGAGAUGUGAGGUUGAGAUGAUGGUGGUAGGUGGUGGUAGGUGGAAUAGUGUUUGAUCCAAGGGCUAUUUGUAAUCAAAAAGUAGAUCCAAUGGCUAAAAACGUGAUAGCAACAUGGGGAUGAUAUUUAUAAAUAUAAUGCAUUUUAAUUAUAUAUAGGCUUUAAUUUAAUUUGGGCCAUUAUUGUUGGCCCAUAAAAUAAACCCAACAAGUACAAUCGUACAAUUGAGCCCAACUCUAAAUUUACAUAACACACUCUCUCUUUCAGACUUUCACUGUUGCACAUAACCCUAAAACAUGAUAACAUUCAAAUUUCCAAAUCCCUACUUUUUUUCCUCUCUCUCUCUCUCUCUCUCUCAGACCCUCAUCUAGUCAGGAAGUCACCCUAGCUCACAUUUCUUAUAAUUAUUUUGUAUUUUGAACUAUUGGACAUGUUGCAUCAAAUUGUAGGUAAUGUUCUAUAAAAAUUAAACUAUUGAUUAUAUAAUGUCGAGAAUUUCAAUCGGCUCGUUUAGAGCUCGAGCUCGGCUCGACUCGAAAUUAGACUCGCUCGAGCUCGGCUCGAAUUAAUUUCAAGCCGAGCUUGAGCCUAGAUUUAGGUUCGAAAUUAAUUUCAAGCCGAAUUUGAGCUGACAUAAGCUCGCUCGAGCUCGGCUCGUUUCCACCCCUACUCUCCAGCGCCAGGCUUUUGGGCAUCCAAACAAACUGCUGAUUUGUCCUGCAGUGCGUAUCGUGCAGUGCUGCCUGCCUGAGUCUCCUCUCGUGCAUGAGCACAGUCGGCCUUCCAUCACUGACGUCACAAUUCUCAGACUCCUCCCCACAAACCCCAAGACUCUCCUGUCUGUCAAGUGAGUACUACUCAUAUGGCUUGUCCAAACAUCCCUUGACAUUUAUGUCAAUAUUCCAAAAUCAAGGCUCACAAGUUCAACCAAAAUUAAACCAAAAUUUGACCUUAUUAUCAUACAUAAUUUUUAAAAUUUUUUUUCGAUAAAUAUAUAUAUAUAUAUAAUAAAGUUUAAAGUAAAAAUAUAAUUAUUUAUAUAAGCCUAAAAAGUUUUAGAGUUUUUUAUUUACCCCGUCUAGAAGAUUAAUAUAAAAAAUAUUCUUUAACAUUCGAAAUUUUUUUAAAUAUAUUUUUAAAGUAAGAUUUUUAUUAGUAAACUGUUAGCAAUAGUCGUUAUUUGUAUAAAAUUAUUAUUUUGCUCUCUAAAUAUAUCUUUUUAUCGUCACCAAUUUUUUUUAUUUGUCCUUAAAUUGGGGACAAAAAAUGUAUUUUCGUUUUUUUUUAACUUUUUUGAUAGGAAUUUAAUCAGAGUUUAAUCCGAAAAAAACUUAGCAGGUACUAACAACAUGAUUAUUUUUGAAUAACGAAAAAAUAUACCAUAAGUAUGUUUGAAAAAAAAGAAGAAGUAGAAAUGUAUAAAAUAUUUCAAAAGUUUUGAGAGAUAUUUAGAUAAUUAUCCCUAUUUUUAAUGUAUGACUUGAUUAAAAUAAAUAAUAGGCGUUAGAGUUAUGAAUUAUGGUUGUUUUUCAAAUUAAAAAGAACUCAGUAGAUAAAAAAUGAAAUAUUAAUAUUUAAAAAAUCCAUCUCAAAACUCUAAUAUGUCAAAUUUUUAUUUUUUUAUAAUAUUUAUAUUCAAAAUUAUAUCUAUUUAAUAUUAUAUAAAUUUUUUCUGUUCGAAUUUUAAUUUGGAUAAAAUUUUAAAUAUUCUCACCCAUUGAACAUUCCUACAUGCAAAGCAUUCACAAAACUAGUAAAGAAAUUGAUGUGAGUUGAUUUAUUUUCUCUAUUAAUUACAUUAACUAAUGAGCAUUACUCGGAAUGACCCCACAAAUUGUCUCAUUAAUUAUGAAAUGUACUGAUGUUUAGGCCAAUCUACGUAACAGUUUAUAUUAUACAUAAUAAGUACAUUAAUAGUACAUAAUGAUACGUCGCAUUUGAAAACACGACUUUUCUAUGUUUUAACAAAUAGAAUUCGCAAUUUAUAUUUACUUACCCACAUAAAUUAAUUAAAAUUUAUAAUAAAUUUAUUUAAUAAAUUACAAAAGAGUAUAAAUUUUAUUAGCAUAUUUUAUUAUUGUUAAUUUCAAACCAUAGUUAGCGUCACGCAAUUUAAGGCCCGCACAGUGUAAUGAGCGUCCUCUACAACGGAAUCUAAGAAAGAAAAUAAUAAACAAUUAGAUGCAAUAAAUAUUGUCUUAUAUUUUAUAUAACAACUCUAAUUGUUUUUUUUACCUUAUUAAAUAGCUAGUCAAAUCAAAGAGAGUAAACUCCAUUAAUUUGUGUUUUAACUACAUAUGAAGAUUUCGUAAUUUAUUGGAUAAAUUUGUACUUGGAUGCUAUAUGUCACACAUCUUUAAUUUCCAUUCUAAUUAUUUAACAUGAAAUAGAUAUGCAUUAAUGCAUGAAUCUUAUUUAUCAACUAUAUAUAUAGAGGGAGAGAGUCCGACUACUAUAUUUUUAUGAGUAUAGACAUUUUUAUACCUACAAAUUUUCGGCCUUAGAUUUAUCUCUUUUAUUAUUUUUAUUUAUUAAAUUAUACUAUUCAACCAACCACCCACUCAAUUUUAAAGGACCACUAUCAUCUUAAUCAGGGACCACUAUUAUUAAGCAUACAGUGUCCCUAGCCUAUAUUUUUGAAUGAGCAAAAUAUUUUUGUUAGUUUUAAAAUUAUCACUUCAAAUGUCUUUUUUUUUUUUUUUAGGCAUUGAGAAAUAAAUUGGAAAACUUUUAAUAAUAGUAAGGAGAGGUAUAUAAACAAAAGUCCCUACCAUAAAAACAGCUAAUUAAUUAAAUAAUUAGUACACAACACAAAUUAUAAAGUUAAUUUAUAAUUAAACAUGUGAAAGAAGUGAUGAAUAUAUUAAGAAGAAACAGGGAUAUAUAGUAGUGUAGUUUAUUACAACUAGAAGAAGAGAUUAGUAGACUCAUGAUGCACUUUGUAUUGAUCAAGCUUAUUGCUUAGCCCUUGAGCUUCUCCUUCACUCAAACUCUCCCCUUCCCCUUCUUGCUCUCCUCCUCCUCCUCCUCCUCCUCCCCCCUCCUCGGCGCCGUCGGUGUCGUCGUCGUCGUCAUCAUCGUCAUCGACGACAUCCACAUUCGACUCCCGCGACACGACGAUGGCGUCGAGGAGCUCCGAGCUAUUCCUUACCGUCGCCGCGGGCUUCGAGUAGAGCUCGUCGAGCUGUCGGAAGUAGGGGCACGUCUUCGCGUGCGGCGGCCGCCUCUUCCCGGAGUCCUUCGCCUUCCGGAAGUACUUGUUGAUGUUCUCCCACUUCUCCUUGCACCUCUUCGCGCUCCGCCGGAACCCUAUUGCCGCCAUCUGCGCGCUGACCUCGUCCCACAGCGGCCCCUUCAGCCCCGGCUCCUGGAAUUUCUCCUCCAGCCGCCACCGCACCCCGAUCAGCGCCUCCACCUCCGCCUUCGGCCACCGCCGUCCCCCCGUCUCCGCCCCGAUGACGUCGCUGUCGGUCGGCGCCGUAAUUGGUAUUUUGGCUGCCAUUGUCGUUGUGAUUGCGGUCGCGGCCUCGUCGGCGGCGGCCGGCGGGAGGUGGAGGGACUGGCCGGAGAUCUUCUCGAGGAAGGCGACGACGGCGGCCUCGCGGGCGGCGGAGAGCUGGCGGUCGCGGGCGCGGGCGGCGGCACGCGUCGUCGCGGCCCGCGCGCUCGCGGUCGCGCCGCUCCAUCGCGUCGAGGAACCGCCGGUGCAGGCUCUCCUGGUGCUCCAUCAGCUGCCGCACCAGCGUCUCGAAGAACGCCGCCACCGCCGCCAACUGCUGCUGCUUCUGCCGACGCUUUCUUUUGCUCCUCCGCAUCCCCCCUCCGCCGCCGCCCCCGCUGCUUACGUUGAUCUGCUGCGGCUGCUUCUCCGUCGGGGCUUCCCCGCCCGCCGACAUCUCCGACAAAACAGCAGCAGCACCGAAUGCGGCAUUCGAGGCUGGAAUCAGCGAAUUCUCAUCCCCGGUGAGCGCGGAGCCGGAGCCGGUCUGGUUAGCUUCGGCAAUUCCGCCGCCGCCGCUACUGCUACCGGGUUUGUAGAUGGCUUCAAGCUCGCUAAAGAGCUUGUAAUUGCUGCCGCCGGUCGGCGCGCGGCCGUGGCCAGACUCGUCGGCUUCGUCGUCAUCUGCGGCAGCGGCGGCGAUGGGGGUUUCUUCGCUUUGCUUGUAGAAUUCAGCAGCGGCCAACGACGGCGGCGGGGGCGGUGGUGACUCGGGUUCCUUGUGCUUGUUCCUCUUGCCGUUCCUGUAGAUGUAGUCUAUGUCCAAAGGUCUCCUGGAACAACAAUAAGAAAACUAACCAUUAAGAUUCCCCACCACCACCCCCAAAAAGAAAAAAAAGAGAGGAUUUUUAGAGAUUACUAGUUAAAUUCUUGCUUCAGAUGUUGCUUUGCUAUACAUCACCUUUCUUUCAGUCUCUCAUUCGAGUGAUUUGAAAGGAAGUUUAAGGAAUCUCCAUCUCCUCCCUCUUUUUCACCAAUUACAUCGUUAUCAUGAUUAUUUUACCUCAAAAGAGAAAGGGCAAAAAAAAAAAAAAAAAAAAAAUCCUAUAUAGCAAUAAUAGUAUCUGAUCCUAUAUUCUAUUCUAUCAGAUCACUUUUUAUAUGUUAAAAAUACAAAAAAAUAUAAAAAAAAGUAGUGCUUCUUACCUAGAUUCAUAAACCAAAGAAAAUAUCAGAAAAUAAAAUAAAAUAAUUAUAAAAUUUACGUAGUUCAGCAAUAUGCCUAUAAUUUGUAGGUUUUAGAGAGAAAAAGAAGAGAGGAAAUGGUAGUACCAAGUGGGCUCUUUAAUGGCCGACUCCUCUUCAUGGUGCCACCCAUGUAUCCCUCCUCUCUCCGCCGCAGCCGCAUCCUCGUCGUCGUCGUCGUCAGCACCCCCCUCGCGGCCGCAGUCGUCGACCCCCAGCUUGAAAUUCAUCAUUCCAGCCAAGAACUCUCUCCCGCCGCCGCCGCCGCUGCAGCCGCCAUGCGGCGAGUUUAUUUCCGCAACCGCUGCCGCCGGCUCUGGCUCCCUCGCAUCCCCGCCAAUUGGGAAUUGGCGGCGGUGGUGGUGCGGCGGGGGGAAUAUAAGACGAGCAGCAGGAUUCUGCGUCUGCGGCGGCGGCGGCGGCGGCGGCGGAGGCGAGUGGUGGAAGAGCUGGAAGUGGUGGUGGCUGCUGCUGCUGCUGCUGCUCUGCUGCAGGAGCUGCUGCGUGAAGGGGAUGGGGUGGAACUGCAGCAUGUGCGCCGCCAUCGGCACCGGCAUCACCAUCGGAGGAGGAAACUGCUGCUGCUGCUGCUGCUGCGGAACAAUCUGGUGGUGGUGGUGGAGGUGGUGGCCAUGGAUGAGAUGCUGGUAUUUGAUCGGCGGUGGCGACAUCUCGGCUGCUGCAGUCGACAUGGAGAAAAGAGAAGCGCCACCGCCGCCGCCGCCGCUGCCGCCUUCCGCCAUCGCUGCAGCCGCCGCCGCCGCCAUGAACUGCUGGAUCUCAUGAGACACCCCUCCUCCUCCUGCUGCUGCAGCUCCUCCUCCAUACCCUGAUUGCAUCUUACUUUUUUUUCUUUAAUUCCCUUUUAAUUUGCUCAACUCAAACACACCCAGUAGUAGUAUAAUAGUAGUAGUAGUAGUGUGCUACCACUCUUAACUAAUCUUUAGCAGUUGUUUCCUAAGAAAUAUUCUCUCUCUCUCUAAAAAUAACUAAGCUCUAAAAGUGGGGUGGUGCUGAGUUUGAGAGUGAUAGAGAGGAGGAGGGGGGGAGGUGAGAGGGGCGGGGUAGAUGGAAAGGUUAAAGAUAUGGUACAGUGGGUGACGUCAGCAAGAGAUGAACAUCCACCCCUCUCUACAAACAAAAAAUAAUAAUAAUAAUUUGCUUGUACCUGGUAUACAAGUACAUUUUCAUAUUACCAACUCAUGUUAGCUUAGAUGGAUCAAAUAGACAUUUAUUGUAUACUCUAUUUAUCUCGUUUGUGUGACACCUUACUUAUUAGGAGGUCAUUCAUUCUAAAACUAUUAUAAUUUUAUCACGCUUAACUCUUUUAACUUUUUGGAUCUAGCUACCGCCUAAAAUAUUAUAGCCGGGUUAAGAAUUUUAGUCCUAUUAUAUCUUAUAUAUAGAACCAUAUCGAGUCUCACAAUUUUUUUUCCUUUAAACCUUGAUGUACUUGUCAGGCUCAGAUUCAUAAAUAUCAAGCGAUAUAAGACUCGUCUCGCUAGCCAUAACCGAUUUUGUGGGAAAGCCAUGCUAUACCCACAAUAGUCAUCAGUAUGAAAGCCUUACUCUUCUCGCCAUAUAAUCUGGCUCAAUCGAGACUUAUCAUUGGCUAAUAAUUGGCUCGCUCUGAUAUCAAUUGUGACGUCCCACUUCACAAGGGUCACCCAUCAUAGGACUACUCUAGUCCUAUCACGCUUAACUCUUUUAAUCUCUUGGGUCUACCUAUCGUCCAAAAUGCUAUAAUCAGAUUAAGAAUUUUAGUCUUAUUAUAUCUUAUAUAUAGAACUAUUUGGGGUCUCAUAAUGUAACUACAUGCAUUACAAAAAAAUUAUUUUCUUUCAAAUUGUGGUGAUGCGCUCGCAUUCAUGAUAUGAAGGUUUGAGUAUGCACCAAUACAUUAUUAGUCGACAAAGACAAUAUUUUAGAGGAGACUAANAAAACAAAGCGAUUUUUUUAAUAUUAUUUGCCAAUAAUAAAAAAACAAAACAUAAAGAGAUCACCUGUAAAGAAAACUAAAAUUGAAACUUGAUUCUUAGACAUUUUAUAAUAAAACUUAUAAAUUUUGAACGCAAAUUUUUUAUGAGAGACAUAAUAUUCUAGAAAUGCCAUAUUUGCUACUUAUUAAGUGAUUAGGAAUUUAUGAUUUUUUCUUAACAUAUAAGUUACUCAAAUAUUGUGGAUCGAAUCUAAUAUCAAAUUUUAGUUUUAAUUUUUAAAAUAUUAAUUAUUAAAAAUUAGGUGCGGUGCACGAGGUGUAUAUAUACAUCAGGUGCAUGCACUAAUUUAUUCCCUCUAGAGUUGCAUUGGUCUUGUGACGUGUCCCAGGGCACCCAGCACGUGAGACGCACGUGCGAAGAGUUUGAUAACCACACACCCUUUGUUUCCAAAUCCUACUCAUCAGUGUUGGUGGGGAAAGAAAAUUAAGAUUUUUUGAGGAAAAUGCUAACAAAUUAUUAUCAAAUCAAAAAAUGCGUGGAAAUUUUUAAUUUUACUAUUCAACAUUUCAUUCUAUUUUAAAAAAUAUAAAUUUUAAGUAUAAUAUCUAAUAUACCAUUUUAAAAUUUUAAAGUAUCUAAUAUAUUUGUGAUUAACCAAAAUAUCCUUAUUAAUUUUCAAAAAAAAAUUCGAAAAUUUUCAAAUCUCUAACAUAUACUAAUAGGAUUUGAAGUUUAGAAAAGUAUUUUGAUAAUUUUAAGAUAAAAUUUUAAAAUUCUGAAUAGUAGUUUACAUAAACAAUAGCACAUUUGUUACCAAAUUAUAAAUUAAAUGGGUGAAAUUGCAAUGAUAUAAUCGAUUUUAAAUUACAAGGGAGGGGUAUUUUUGAAAAUGGAAGGAAAUUGAUAAUGUAUCCCAAUUUUUAUCAAAACUAAUUUAAACAAAUUAUAAAGUUGGAUAGCAAAAUUAAAAUUUUAAGCCCCGUUUGGCUUGGGAUUCGGCCAAAUAGACUAUUUUUUGGCGGGAUUUUAUAUUCUGGUCAAAUUUUAUUAUUUUCGAUUAUUUGAAAAUAGCUUGGGAUAAAUUAUUCCACCAUUUUCGUAGAAUAGCAUUAUUUUAAAUUUUAUUAAGAACAUAAAUUGAAUUAAGAUAAAUUAUGUGGACAUAAUAUAUCACAUAUUAUAAUAAAUUAAUUUUAUUCUAAAAUUAUUAAUUGUACCAUAUUAAUACAUAUUAUUUAUACUUAAAAAAUUAUAAUAAAUUCUACUUAAAUAUUUGAUCAUUAUUUUUAUUAAAUUUAAGUUUAAGUAGAAUUUUUUAAUAUAAUAAAAUAUUUCUAUGAAAUCAUAUUUAACAAUAAAUUAUUUUUAUUAAAUAUUAUAAAAAAAUAUUUUUAUUAAAUCAUAUUUUGUAUCAAACUCAAUCACCACCUUUUCCAUUAUCUUCUACGAUUCCAUACAAUUUAUAAAAUACAAUUUCAUUUAUUCCUUAAANACCACCUUUUCCAUUAUCUUCUACGAUUCCAUACAAUUUAUAAAAUACAAUUUCAUUUAUUCCUUAAAACAGCAAAUUACAAGCCAAAAACAAUUUUACUUUUAUUCCAUAUUAUUAUGGAAUAGUAAAUUAUCCCAAAAAUAAAUAAUUUAUUUUAAUGUUCAUUAUCCCACAAUUAAUCAAAUACAAUUUCAAUUAUUUCUGAAAAUAGGAGAAUUACAAAGUAAACACAAUUUUACUUAUAUUUUUUAUUAUUUUAAAAUAAUAAACGAGCUGAAAAAUAAAUAAUUUUUUCCAAUGUUUGUUAUUUUCGAACAGGCCUUAAAAGAGUGAAUACUUUUAAGCUAGGGGUGUUAACAAGCAAAACACGAGUGAAACGAGCCGAACACGAGCCGACUUGUUAAAGUAUCAAGUUAAAAAAUUCAGUUAGUGUUCGGCUCGUUUAUUAAUGAGCCGAGUUUGUGUCCGAUUCAUUUAUUAACCAGUCAAACACGAGCCGAACACAAGUUGACUUAUGAAUAACAAAUUAAUUAAAGAACUAUGAAGAAUAUCCAUAUAGAAAAUAAAUUUAUGAGAUCUUAUCCAUUUGACUUUAAUCUAAUAGUUGAAACUUUACAUGUAAAUAAUAUUUCUAUAAUUGUGUUGGGCUUUAUAUUUAAGUUAAGUUAAAAACUAAGUAAAAAAUAUAUAUAUAUUUUAUAUAAUUAUGUAUAUAUAUAAAGAGUUGAGCUAGAAUACUCUCGAUAGUAAACAGAGCGUUUUACUAUCGAGUUGUUUUCGAUGAUAGAGCUUCCAAAUUGACGAUCGGCUCCGUUAAAUAUGAUCUAAACCAUUUAAACUACUUAGAAAUCAAAUUUCACGCACUUUCGAUAUUGUUAUUUUAUCCAUCUAGCGAAUAAAAAAUGAAUGGCUGAAAAUGAAUAUUCGUUAAAAAAUGAUGAUAGGAGUCUUGUAAUCAAGAUCAAGAGUAUAGAUCUUGUUUUAAAUAGUUUAAAGAAUUUUCUAACAAAAAUUCAAUUGAUUUGGAUAUCUUUACACCGUUAAACGAGAAAACGUCUCUUAUUCAUCAUUAAAAUUACAAUUUUUGAAACCCUUUGAUCAUUAGGCAAAUGAUGUCGAAAAGAUUUGAAAUUUAAUUUCCAAACACUUCAAGUGGUAUAGAUCAUGUUCAACGGAGCCGAUCGUCAAUUUGGAAGCUCUAUCAUCGAAAACAACUCGAUAGUAAAACGCCCCGUUUACUAUCGAGAGUAUUCUAGCUCAACUCUAUAUAUAUAUAUAUAUAUAUAUAUAUAUAUAUAUAUAUAUAUAUAUAUAUAUAUAUAUAUAUAGAGUUGAGCUAGAAUACUAUCGAUAGUAAACGAGCCGUUUUACUACCGAUUUGUUUUCGAUGAUAGAGCUUCCAAAUUGACGAUCGGCUCCGUUAAAUAUGAUCUAAACCAUUUAAACUACCUAGAAAUCAAAUUUCACGCACUUUCGAUAUUGUUCUUUUAUCCAUCAAGUGAACAGAAAAAUGAAUGGCUGAAAAUGAAUACUCUUUAAAAAAUGAUGAUAGGAGUCUUGUAAUCAAGAUCAAGAGUAUAGAUCUUGUUUUAAAUAGUUUAAAGAAUUUUCUAACAAAAAUUCAAUUGAUUUGGAUAUCUUUACACCGUUAAACGAGAAAACGUCUCUUAUUCAUCAUUAAAAUUACAAUUUUUGAAACCCUUUGAUCAUUAGGCAAAUGAUGUCGAAAAGAUUUGAAAUUUGAUUUCUAAACACUUCAAGUGGUAUAGAUCAUGUUCAACGGAGCCGAUCGUCAAUUUGGAAGCUCUAUCAUCGAAAACAACUCGAUAGUAAAACGCCACGUUUACCAUCGAGAGUAUUCUAGCUCAACUCUAUAUAUAAAUAUAAAUUAUAUAAAUAUAAAAUAUAUGUGUUCGAAUUGUUAUCGAGUCAAAUACAAGCGAGCUGAUCUAGCUCGUGUUCAACUCGGUUACAAAACAAACGAUUCGAUUUCGAGUUUAUUUUGAACCAAAUACAACAUUGCUGACUCGCAAACAGCGAACUGGAUUGUAACCCUAAUUUUAGCUGGGGUAUAAUUUAAAUAAGUUUAUAGAUUUAGGGAAAAAAAAAAAGAAAAAGAAAAAGAAACGAGUUGAUGGACGGAUGGGUCGGAUGGGAUGGAUGGAGCGGAUCCGGGCGUUGGAUGAUGGGGGGGACCCGAUUACGCUUCCAAAAUUUCUGGAUCCCGUACACACCCCGAUGUACCAAACACAUGCGCCACGCACGAAAACGAUCGACAUUCAUCCACGUUUCCGUUUACUAUUGGUCAGUUGUAGUGUACGGUGUUCGAUAACUGUAUCGGAUGAGAAUCAGGACGCAGCGGGGGUUGCGCGGCUACGUGGGUCAUUGUCUCGUGAGUGGGGCCCCCGCGCACAAAGCCACGUGUCCUUUUCCUUUUUUUUUUCAAAUUUUUGUCUCUUGUGCCGACGUGUCCUGCCGACGACGGCUCCACGUGUCAGAUUAUGACGUGGCCACAUUUAGCCGUUACACCGAAGAGCUCCACUAUAAUAAUUUAUAAUAAAAUUUAUUAAAAAUAUUAUCUUAUUUACUGUUGUAUAUUAAUUUAAUUAUUAUCUAUGAUAAAUUAAAUACUAAUAAUGCACGAAAAUUAACUUACUACUGGGUACAAUUAAUUUUCAGCAAAAUAAAGAUUGUAACCUCGUUUUUAGUAUGUAAAUAACCGGGGUGUGGGACCCGCAAAAUCUAGAAAUUUUUAUGUAGAAAGAUAGCAUGCAAUCUGUUUCGUUUAUUUUUUUAUAUAUAAACUAAAGUUGAAAAUAUAAAAUAACUAUUUGUGCUAAGUACGGUGAAUUAAUUAAAAGUAAAAUUCGUCCCUAACUUUUUAACGUACAUACAGUAUACCUUGUUUCAGAAUGUAAAAAAAGUAUCAUGUUGCUUGUUUCGUUUAUUUUUUAAAAUAUAAACUUAGUUGAAAAUCUGAAAAAAAAAAAAAAAAGACUUUAAAUAUGGAACUUUGAAUACCAACCAUCAUAUUUGGAGUCGAAUGUGCUAAGUAGGGGUGGCAAUCCAGCUCGCCGUUCGCAAGUCGGUUCAUGUUUGGUUCGAAAUUAAUUUGAGAUCGAAUCGUUCGUUUAGUAAACGAGCCGAGCAUGAGCUAAAUUUUUCAGCUCAUUUAAUAAACUAGCCGAACACGAGCUGGGGUCAGUUCGCUCGUGUUCGACUUGAAAACAGCUCGAAUAUAUAGAUUUCAUAUUUAUAUAAUUUAUUUAAUAUAUAUAUAUAUAUAUUUAUUUAUUUAUNNNNNNNNNNNNNNNNNNNNNNNNNNNNNNNNNNNNNNNNNNNNNNNNNNNNNNNNNNNNNNNNNNNNNNNNNNNNNNNNNNNNNNNNNNNNNNNNNNNNNNNNNNNNNNNNNNNNNNNNNNNNNNNNNNNNNNNNNNNNNNNNNNNNNNNNNNNNNNNNNNNNNNNNNNNNNNNNNNNNNNNNNNNNNNNNNNNNNNNNNNNNNNNNNNNNNNNNNNNNNNNNNNNNNNNNNNNNNNNNNNNNNNNUUAUCUUUUAAGAAAUAUAGUAUAUUUGUUCUAGUUAUUGAAACUAGAUUUUAAAAUUACAGUAUAGUAGUAUAAAACAUUCUAAAAAUAAAAGUCGGUAACUAAAACUCGGUGAAACUAGUGAUCUGUUUACUAUAGCUUUUUAGCGUUUUAAAUAAAAGAUCUAUGAAGUUUAUGAGAUCUAGUUCAGAUUGCCUCGGCUAGCGGUUAAGCUUUCAGGUUUGUAGCUUUUGUUUCACCUUCGUUCCUCGCGAGGCACGAAAGUAUUCGUAUGCUCUGCGUGAUAUAUAUAAAAUUUCAUGCGAUUUGGAUAUUUCUACACCGUUAAACUUGCAACCGGCUCACCACGGCCAUUAAAAUUAUUGAUUUUGAGUCCCUUUGAUCACUAGGCAAAUAAUAUCGAAAAAUCACAAAAAUUAUUUUCUAGGUACUUCAAAUACUCUAGAUCAACUCUAAUGGAGCCGAUCGUCGAUUCAAAAGUCCGAACAUCGAAAACAAAGUAGAAGCACGGAGGGCUCCGUGCUUCCAUAAGCAUACCAGCCUACUAUAUAUAUAUAUUCUUAUUAUUUGAUUUUUAGCAGAAUAAAAAUAUAAAGGCAAGCUUAAUUAUAAAAAAACUUAUUUAUAUGUAAAGUCUCAACCAUUAGAUCAAAGUCUAACGGAUAAAAUUUUAUAAAUUUAUUUUUUCUAUACAUAUUCAAUAUAAUUUUUUUAACUUAUUAUUCGUUGGCCAGCUCAUGAGCCAGCUCGUGUUCGAUUCGUUUAUUAACAAGCCGAACACGAGCUAAAUUUUUUUAUUCGAUAUUUUAAUGAGCCGGCUCACUCGGCUCAUUGACACCCCCCUUAGUGCUAAGUACGAACAGCGAAUUAAUUAGAUGUAAAAUUUUUCUCUAAACUUUUUGACGUAUAAGUUGUAUUCACUACAUUUUCUUUAGCUGCCUUUGGAACAUUCACUCAGGGGUGGCGCCUACACUACCCAGAGAUAUUUUUAUUCGUUUGGUAUAUAAACAUACUGAAAUUAUAAAAUAAUUAGAUUACAAAUUUAAAAUUUCAAAUACGAAUGAUCAAAUCUUUAACCAACUAUAAUACACAUGCUAAAUGAAUUAAUUAAAUAUAUAUAAAAUUUCUCUCUAAAUUAACUUUUGGAUGUACAAGCAGUAUUUCUCAUCUGAGAAGGGCCUUGUAGUAGUACACUACAGUAUGUUUGUUUCAAUGAAACUGAACUUUGGGUUGAAGUGGACCUUGAAUUGAAGUGAAGUUUUAUAGUGAAGGUAUUGAUGCUUUGUUUGUUUCGUAUAAUGGAAAGUGAUGUUUUAUUUAGUUACUGCUGUUGUUUGGUAAAAAGUGUAGAUUUAAAACUUAUAAUUUAUAUAUAAAUAAUAAAUAUUUAAUAAAUAAAGAUAAUAAUUAUAUUUUUAUAAGUAUAAAUUUAAUUUAAAAUAACUAAAUUAUUUUUUUAUACAAAAAUAAUAGUAAUACAAUAAUAAAAUUAUAAAGUAAAAAUAAUUAAUACUUUAAUAAUUAAACUUUAUUAUAUUUUAGAUUGUACAACCUAAAUAAAAAAAAAUAUUAAAACUUAAAACUAAAUCCAAUUUUUAUCAUUUUAAAUAUAUCCAACGGAAUAAAAGAUUAAUUAGUAAUGUAAUUAAAUAUAUUUAAAUAUAAUUAUCUUUAUCUAUUUUAUUAUUUUAUUAUUUUUUUUCACCAAUACUCCUCACCGUAAUUGACUUCGGCCCACGAUGGGCCGAAGUCAAUUACGCCGUUUAAGAUUAACUCGAGUUCCAACUGUAACUUUUUCACGGUGAACCAAACAAUGAAAAUGAUCGUUUAUGGCGAAAACGACUUCCCUCCUCUCCCCUUCCCCCUCACUUCCAGACAAACAAACAUGCCCUUAAUUCGAGCUGCUUUUUGGAACUUUUCGUGAGGGGGUGGGGCCCGCAUGGCCCCGCGUUAGGGGGGACACGUGUCAGUGGUCCGGAAUGCCACGACCUGACAUUUUUGCAGUGAAUUUUUUAAAAAAAAUAAAAUUCACAGUUAUUAAUUAGCUAUCUAGGGUUUUAUCCUCUCAGACCAUGGCAAUUAGCUCCUUUGUGCUCAUCUUCGUUCACUUGAAUUCAUAUUCUCUCUCUCUAUAUAUACAUAGGGUUCGUAUUCAUAAAUCGUUUUCGGUGAUAAAACUUUCAAAUCAACGAUCCAUACCGUUAAAUAUUAUUUAGAGCAUUUAAAAUUUUUAAAAAUUAAAUUUUAUAAUUUUUCGAUAUUAUUUACCUUACGAUCAAAAGAUCUCAAAAUUGACAACUUUUCAUGGUCCGUAUGGAAUUAAUAGUUGGUAGUUUAACCAUAUAAAAAAUCAAAAUCAAUUGAAUUUUUGAUAGAAAAUUAUAUUCACUAUAUAGAUAAAGAUCAAAAACUCCAAUCUUAAAUUGAAGAAUCCGAUUCUCUCAUUUUAGGAGGUCGUUCGAUUUUGACUAUUAAUUUUAUACUCACUUGAUAGACUUUAUUAUCAGUUAAAAAAUUAUAAAUUGUGGUUUUUAGAAAUUUCAAAUACUCUUGAUCAUGUUUAACGAUACAAAUCGCUGAUUAUGAGGAUUUAUUAUCGACAACGAUUUAUGAGUAUGAAAGGCUCUAUACUCAUAAUAGUAUAGUAGCCUAACUCUAUGUAUAUAAUCCUUUUCCUUUAUUUUUGCUUUUCAAGAAGAGUUGAGCUAAUAUUUCUUCCGACAUAAGUGUAUAGAGCUUAUCUGAAUUAUAAAUCAUUUUGAAUUGAACCAUUCAAAAUUUUAAUUUCACUAUCCAACAUUUUAAAAUUGAAAUNUCCUCAUUUCACAACUAUAUUAAGCUUCUUCCUUUGCCGUUAAAUUAAAGUUCAAUUAUUUUAUUCUUUUUUUCAUUUUUCUCAUACAUUAGAUUCCAUGAAAAAAUGUAAAGAUCCUAAUUUGUUUUCCUAAGCGUUUAUUUUCGCGAUUACGGUGUUGGUCAGGCAUUUAACAAUUUCGAAGGUAUUUUCGAUCUGAUUCGUUAUUUCAUGGAGCAUAAAAUGGGAGACGAAGACCAACAGAGCGUUAUGGGAGAUGUCGAACCGGACGUCGUCAUGGAACUGGUUGAGGUCCAGGUUAUCUUCGUUCAGGAUGUCGGUUAGGUCGUCGUUAUUGCCUUCGCCGUCUUUAGUCACCUAAGUACCAUUCAAGGAGCGUGGUUUUUUUUCUUUUUCUUUACCAAUUACUAUGUUAGCUGGUUACUUAAUAAUGAAUUAAAAUAGUAAUUCAAACUAGUAAUUCUAGAUAACCCAGCUUCAUUGAUUUUUGAUUACUAUUAUAAUGACUGAGCAGUCUUGAUGAAGCUAUAGAGCAAAAAUCAAAGAUGGGUACUACUUCAAAAACAUUUAGGUAUAUGUAUGCCAAGAUCAAUAACGUAAAGAAAGAAAGGUUGGUAAGAAAGUAAGUUAGGAAGCAAGAAAUGAGAAGAUAUAGGAACUCAAGUAGACAAAAAAGUAGGUUAGGUGUUAGUGUUUACUUUGUCUUCUUUCCUGAACUGAAUAGAACAUUAGGUAGAUUAGAUUUACGUCAUUUGACGUUAGUUUAGUUAUAUACGUUAGUAGUUAUAUACGUUACCUAUAGUUAUACUAGCUAUAGUUGCUAUAGUUAUAUAGUUAUAUUGCUAUAGUUAUACAUAUAGUUAUGUAUAUAUAUAUAAAAAAUAAAACGAUAUUGAUUGAUAUAUAUAUAUAAUAUAUACAUAUCGUAAUAAUUACUUAUUUGUUGAGACUCCAGGAAGGACUGCUUUGAGGAAGAGGAAUUACCAGAUCACUCGCUUUCUUCCUUCCCGUCCUUAGCUUAGUACAAUGGAAACUUUUUUCCUUUUCGUUCUUGUGGAUUAGAUAAUUUUGAGUUAUUUUUAUAAGGGAAAAAUGAAAAAUGCAGAUCAAGAAAUCCUCCUUUUUCUUCGGUUCGGACUCUCCCAAAUAAAAAAUCCUUUAAUUUAUUUAAUUUUAGUCAAUAGCAUUUUAAUUUUAAAAUUUGAAUAGGUCAUUUAUUCUUACAGAUUUAGUUAGUAUAAAUAUUUUAUGCAAUUCUCGCAAUUAUAAAUUUAUCAAAGUAAAAAUUAGUUUAAAAUUUAAAGUCAGAGUUUUAUAAACUGAUUCAAAUCAAAUAAACUGAAAAAUAUAUAGUAAAACUAAAUUUUUGAAGGGCCCGAUGGUAAAUUCAAAAUGAUUUAUAAUUUUUGAUAAUUUUGAUAUGUUUUUGUUUGAAGUUAAACAACACACGGUUACGUACUCUUGUGUACGUAACUAAACUCAAUUCUUGGGUACGUACAAAUAAACCACGUAAUCAUUGUACUAUACAUUCACAAGAGAGGUGUAAUUAAACUACACUCGGGGUGCGUGGAAAUGCCACGAUAACAAAUUUAUCAUUCACAUUGCGUUGAGAUUCGCGCGCUAGCUACUAGUAAUUAAUGAACGGUGGAUUUGAUAUAUACAUACGUAGAUAAAUUAACGCUUUUUAAGUUCCAAAACUGAAGCCCAAAUAACAAUCCAAUUAAUAUUAUCGAGCACGUGGAGAUGCAAUUUAAUGAGAGUAUAUAUUUUGAUGCAAAAAAUUUAGGUUGUAGGGAGGAACAUGCAUGCAUCGAAAUUUUUGGUUGCCCCCAUGCAUGUUGCAUGGCAUGUGCAUGCAUGUGAUCACGUAUUCACAUGCAUGCAUGAUAAAUCGUUAUAAUAAAAACGAUGUAUAGUGAUACUUUUAAAUAUCGGUACAGAUAAAAAAAAAUUAUGCCAGCUAAAUUACUGACACUAUUAAAGUGUUAUUAUAUGUGGGGUCGCUAAAUAUAUAGCACUUGCCAGCUUAAAAAUGUCGAUAUAAGCUAAAAAGAAUGCUGCUAAUUUAUCAUUUAUUAAGCAUAUAGCAGCCGCCAGAACUUUACCUCGUCGGCUCACUACAACAAAAUUAGGUUAUAGGGACACAUAUUUGGGACACUUUUGAAUAAGUGUUCCAUUUAUACUAAAACUUAAAAAAACAUCUACUAAGGCCUAAAUAUAAAGCCCAAUCCAAUCAAAAAUAAAAGAUUAUUCUACUCAACCCACCACACCCAGUCCAUUUGGCCCGAUUACAAACAGAAAAGAAAAAAAAAAAGAAAAUUCAAUUACCAUCUUUUCUUCUCUCUUCAUUCAAUCCACUGAAAUUCUAGACGAAGAGCCUUUUUUGUCGUCCUCAUCCGCUACUGCAGCCAAUGCGAUAGAGUUUCGGCGAUUGCUAAAUGCUUAAAUAAGUAUUGGUAAAUUAGCAGUACUCUUUUAGGUUAUAGCGACACUCUUUAACAGUCACUAUAUAUCUAGCGACCCCAUAUAUAGCAACACUUUUUAAAAGUGUCGGUAAUUUUAGCUAGCAGCACUUUUUUGACAUGUACCUACAUUUAAAAGUGUCGCUAUAGACCGUUUUUGUUAUAGUGGCUGCGGUGGCAGAGGAGGAGGAGAACGAGAGGCUCUUCAUCUAGAAUUUCAGAGAAUUGAGUGAGUGGAGAAGGAGAAAUGGUAAUUGAUUUUUCUAUUUUUUUUUUCUUUUCUAUUUGUAAUCGGCCCGAGUAGGCUGGGUGAGGUGGAUUAAGUAGAGUAAGUUUUUGUUUUUGGUUGGAUUGGACUUUAUAUUUAGGUUUUAGUAGAUCUUUUUAAAAAGUUUUGGCUGGGACACUUAAACAAAAUUGUUUCAAAAUGUGUCCCUAGCUAUUAUCUAAUUCUGUUGUAGUGAAUGCAUUUGUCUGGACUCGAGAUUUUUUAAUAGUGUGAAUUUUUUUGUUUGAUGCUCUUUAACUAAUGAUAUCCAAAUCGCAAGUAAAUGGAGGAAAUUAAAUGAGGCAAUUGAUUAUAUUGCUGAUUCGAACUCAGAAUCCUCUACUAUGCUAUGUGAAUCAGUCGUUUCUCUUUUUCAAAAACUUAAAUUGUGGAAAAACUAAAGGCAAAAAAAAAAGAAUUUUAGUAUUAUAUAUAUAUUGGACAAAUAUAAAUAUGCAUAUCAUCCCCAGCAACGUUGUGUCCAAGCUGCAUGCUUCCGCCAAAAGCUGCGCGGAUCUCUGCGCCAAAAUUCGUACUGAGGGGGGUGGUAGUUGACAUGCAUGAGGACAACUCCCCGAGGUGGCCCAUGCAUAUGCAUGCAUGAUCACGCCCCCCCGCCCCCUCUUUCUCAUCUCUCUCUCUCCUCUCUUCUCUCUCUCUAAUCUCUCUUCCUAUCUAUCACUCUCCUCUCUCUCUAUCCUCUCUCUCCUCUCCUUGAUUGAUCCAUUGCUAUCAAUCCAGUACGUAUGAGACCAUAUGUCUAGUAAACUUUGCAUCACAUGCACUGAGGCGGGGUCAGGCCUCGUGCUCGAUAUCGUUUCCUGAUCUUCGUAGCGUGGUCUAUCCGCGCAGUUUUGAUUCGGGUAUUUCUGACUAGUUCAUGAGGGCCGACGACUGUCCCGCAGUAUCAAUGAAUUAAUUUGUACCUAAUAAUCAAUACAGAUUUUGAUAUAAGCAACGAUUAUAUAGAUGUGUUUGUGUGUAAUAUAGAGCUACUAUAUACUCGAAGUAUAGAGUAUUUGAUUAUGAUUUUUUUACUUCCUGUGAUCAAAAAUUGUAAGCCGAUUGGAUGAAUUGCGAUUCACCCCUAAUAUUGAAUAGUCUUUCUAGGGUUGAGUUCCACAUGUUAAUAGUAUUAAUUCAAAGAUUAAAAUUCAUUAAUGAAAUCUGAUCUAAGUACUAAAAAGUGAAUACCAAUGUUUUUGCUUUGAUAACUAUAUUACUCAUCUUAUAUAUAUAUAUAUAUAUAGUAAAUUAAGACCCAAUAAUAUAUAAAAUACAAAAGCUACUAUACUAUCUAUAGUAUCGGAGCACCGGUACUAUAAUCUUGUUUUCGAUCUUAGAAAUAAAAUUUUAGUUUUUUUCGACAUCGUUUACUUAGCAAAUAAAUUAUGUCAAAAUGGAUGGUGAAAAUUGAAUAAUCUUUAAAAUCAAGAAUGUUAACCUUAAUUUAGAUAGUUUAAAAUAUUUUCUAUCAAAAUUUGAAGAAAUUUAGAUUCUUCUACACCGCUAAACUCCAAACUCGUCAUAGUAGCCAUUGAAAAUUGACAAUUUUGAAAUGGUUUGAUCAUAAAGUAAACUAUGUCGAAAAAAUAUAAAAUUUUAUUUCUAAAAACAUUAAAUACCCUAUUUCAGUUUUAACGGUGUGGAUCGUUGAUUUGAACACCCUAAAAUCGAAAACGAGACUAUAUAUAGUACCGAAGCCCCGAUACUAUGAUAGUAUAGGAGACUAGCUAUAUAUAUAAUUGAGCUCCUAUGCUUUUAAAAGUACCAAGUUAUUGGUGCUUGUAAGUUUUUGACCCCUUGGAUUAAAGGAUGUGCGGUUAGGAUGAUGUGGGCCCCCUAGGGUUGAGUGGGUGGUUUGUUGAAUAGUAUAAUCUAAUGGAUAAAAAUGAUCAAAGGCAGAGAUCUAACGGUAAAAGAAUUACAAGCACCGAGUGCUUGGUACUUUUACAAGUACCAUAGCCAGACUCUAAUAUAUAUAUAUAUAUAGUUUGACUGGGCUACUAUCGGUAGUAAACAGCUCAAUUUACUACCGAUUUGUUUUUAUGAUAGAGCUUCCAAAUUGACGAUCGGCACCGUUGAAUAUGAUCUAGACCAUUUAAAUUAUCUAGAAAUCAAAUUUCAUGAUUUUUUGGUAUCACUAACUGAACGAUCAAAGGGUCACAAAAUCUAUAAUUUUAAUGGCUGAUAUGGUGCGUUUGCUCGUUCAACGGUAUAGAAGAGUUCAAAUCAACUAAAUUUUUGUUAAAAAUUCUUUAAACUAUUUAAAAUAAGAUCUAGACUCUAUAUCUCAAAUAUAACGUAUCAUCACUUUUUGAAGGAUAUUCAUUUCCAGCCAUUCAUUUUUAUGUUCACUUGAUAGACAAGAGAACAAUAUCGAAAAUGUGUGAAAUUUGAUUUACGGAUAGUUUAAAUAAUUUAGAUCAUGUUUAACGAUGCCGAUCAUCAAUUUGGAAGUUCUAUCAUCGGAAAUAAAUCGAUAGUAAAUCGAGCCGUUUACUACUAAUAGUAUUCCAACAAAACUCAAUAUAUAUAUAUAUAUAUAUAUAUAUAUAUAUANNNNNNNNNNNNNNNNNNNNNNNNNNNNNNNNNNNNNNNNNNNNNNNNNNNNNNNNNNNNNNNNNNNNNNNNNNNNNNNNNNNNNNNNNNNNNNNNNNNNNNNNNNNNNNNNNNNNNNNNNNNNNNNNNNNNNNNNNNNNNNNNNNNNNNNNNNNNNNNNNNNNNNNNNNNNNNNNNNNNNNNNNNNNNNNNNNNNNNNNNNNNNNNNNNNNNNNNNNNNNNNNNNNNNNNNNNNNNNNNNNNNNNNNNNNNNNNNNNNNNNNNNNNNNNNNNNNNNNNNNNNNNNNNNNNNNNNNNNNNNNNNNNNNNNNNNNNNNNNNNNNNNNNNNNNNNNNNNNNNNNNNNNNNNNNNNNNNNNNNNNNNNNNNNNNNNNNNNNNNNNNNNNNNNNNNNNNNNNNNNNNNNNNNNNNNNNNNNNNNNNNNNNNNNNNNNNNNNNNNNNNNNNNNNNNNNNNNNNNNNNNNNNNNNNNNNNNNNNNNNNNNNNNNNNNNNNNNNNNNNNNNNNNNNNNNNNNNNNNNNNNNNNNNNNNNNNNNNNNNNNNNNNNNNNNNNNNNNNNNNNNNNNNNNNNNNNNNNNNNNNNNNNNNNNNNNNNNNNNNNNNNNNNNNNNNNNNNNNNNNNNNNNNNNNNNNNNNNNNNNNNNNNNNNNNNNNNNNNNNNNNNNNNNNNNNNNNNNNNNNNNNNNNNNNNNNNNNNNNNNNNNNNNNNNNNNNNNNNNNNNNNNNNNNNNNNNNNNNNNNNNNNNNNNNNNNNNNNNNNNNNNNNNNNNNNNNNNNNNNNNNNNNNNNNNNNNNNNNNNNNNNNNNNNNNNNNNNNNNNNNNNNNNNNNNNNNNNNNNNNNNNNNNNNNNNNNNNNNNNNNNNNNNNNNNNNNNNNNNNNNNNNNNNNNNNNNNNNNNNNNNNNNNNNNNNNNNNNNNNNNNNNNNNNNNNNNNNNNNNNNNNNNNNNNNNNNNNNNNNNNNNNNNNNNNNNNNNNNNNNNNNNNNNNNNNNNNNNNNNNNNNNNNNNNNNNNNNNNNNNNNNNNNNNNNNNNNNNNNNNNNNNNNNNNNNNNNNNNNNNNNNNNNNNNNNNNNNNNNNNNNNNNNNNNNNNNNNNNNNNNNNNNNNNNNNNNNNNNNNNNNNNNNNNNNNNNNNNNNNNNNNNNNNNNNNNNNNNNNNNNNNNNNNNNNNNNNNNNNNNNNNNNNNNNNNNNNNNNNNNNNNNNNNNNNNNNNNNNNNNNNNNNNNNNNNNNNNNNNNNNNNNNNNNNNNNNNNNNNNNNNNNNNNNNNNNNNNNNNNNNNNNNNNNNNNNNNNNNNNNNNNNNNNNNNNNNNNNNNNNNNNNNNNNNNNNNNNNNNNNNNNNNNNNNNNNNNNNNNNNNNNNNNNNNNNNNNNNNNNNNNNNNNNNNNNNNNNNNNNNNNNNNNNNNNNNNNNNNNNNNNNNNNNNNNNNNNNNNNNNNNNNNNNNNNNNNNNNNNNAAAUAUAUAUACCGAAUUAUGCCCUAUACUAUCAUAUGUAACAAGCCCUUGGUACUAUUUUCGAGUUUUUGUGCCGUUGGAUAAGAUUAUCUUAGGAUAAUAGUGGUCCCUCAUAAGGUUUAGUGGGUGUGUUGGUUUAAUAGUAUAUAUUAUCUAACUGUGAUAAUACACAGGAUAGAUCUACGUAAAGAAUACCUUUCAUAAGUACCCAAAGCUUUGAUACAUUCAUAGUAUAGUAGCCGCUGUCUCUCUCCUAUUAUAUUAUACUUAUUAUAUAUUAUAUUUAUUAUUAUAUUUAUAAAUAUCAUAUAUAUAUAUAUAUAUAUAUAUAUAUAUAUAUAUAUAUAUAUAUAUUUAUUUAUUUAUUUAUUUAUUUAUUUAUUUAUUUAGAGAUUAGAGCCUCUUAUGGAUACCUUCUAUAUAUGCUGAUGUGGUGAUCUAUACUGUACAAAUUAAUCUAAAUGUGACACAUUAGUAUGCUGACAUAUAAACCACUUUUUAAAGGACUCCUGAAAGCAUCAAAAGCUCUACUUAUUCUAUAUAUGGUCUAAUAUAGUGAAAUCGAGAUCAUCCAAUAAUUUUAAUUUGAAUGCAUGAGUACCAGCAAUAGAUUGCAGGAUCGUAAAAGUACUAUUUUUAAGAGUAAAACUAUCGUAAAGUUCAAAAGAAUACUUGGUCUGAUGAAUUAUGCAGAGAAUUAAUCUUCACAAAUUUGCUAGCUAGAUGAUCUAUCGCAGUAUACAGGUAAAAAUUUUCUUACUUCUAUUAUUCUUUUUUUCUUUUCAAAUUAUAACUACCCCUGUUUUAGUAAUACAACCAAUUAAUUAGAUCAGUUCUAAUUAACCUUUCACUAUCAGAUCAUACGUGUUUAUAUUUUUAUCCAUGCAUACAUCACGUUACCAUAUGAGGAAGCUAGAAUACAAAAGAAAUAUAAAUAAUAAGCAUAAAUAAAAUUUAUAAUAUUCAACCAUCCCUAUUUGUGUUCGCCUAGCUAUAUAUAUAUAUAUAUAUAUAUAUAUAUAUAUAUAUAUAAUCCGGAUACUAUACUCUUAUGAGUACGAUUGCCUUCGUACUUAUAAGUUGUUUUCGAUGAUAGAGCUUCCGAAUCGACAACUCAUACCGUAAAAUAUUAUCUAGAGCAUUUAAAAUUUCUAGAAAUCAAAUUUUAUAAUUUUUCAAUACCAUUUAUCUUACGAUCAAAAGCUUACAAAAUUAACAAUUUUUAACGGCUGAUAUGAGAUAUUUGCUAGUUUAACGGUGAAAAGGAAUCGGAAUAGGUUGAAUUUUUGAUAGAAAAUUCUAUUCACUAUCUAAAUAAAGAUCAAUAACUACAAUCUUAAAUUGAAGGAUCCGAUCAUCCAUUUUUAGGAUGUCAUUCGAUUUUAACCGUUAAUUUUAUACCCGAUUGAUAGACUUUAUAAUGAUUUCGAAAAAUUACGAAAUUUAUUUUCUAGAAAUUUCAAAUAUUAUAGGUCAUUUUUAACGGUGUGGAUCGUCGAUUCGAAAAGCCAAUUUCGAAAACAACUUAUGAGUACGAAAGGCUCUAUACUCAUAAGAGUAUAGUAGCCCUACUCUACAUAUAUAGUUGAGCUGGAAUACUAUCGAUAGCAAACGGGCUCCGUUGCCGCCCAUUUGUUUUCGAUGAUGGAGCUUUCAAAUCGACGAUCGGCACCGUUGAACAUGAUCUAUACCACUUAAAAUAUUUAGAAAUCAAAUUUCAAAUCUUUUCGACAUCAUUUGCCUAAUGAUCAAAGUCUUUAAAAAUUUGUAAUUUUAAUGGCUGAUAUGAGGCGUUUUCUUGUUUAACGGCGUAAAGAUAUCUAAAUCAAUUGAAUUUUUGUUAAAAAAUUCUUUAAACUAUUUAUAACAAAAUCUAUACUCUUGAUCUUGAUUACAGGACUACUAUCAUCACUUUUUAAAGAAUAUUCAUUUUCAGCCGUUUAUUUUUGUGUCAAAUCGAUGGAUAAGAGAAUAAUAUCGGAAAUGUAUAAAUUUUGAUUUCUAAAUAUUUCAAGUGGUAUAGAUCAUGCUCAAUAAUGCCGAUCGUCGAUUUGGAGGCUCUAUCAUCGAAAACAAAUGGGUUGCAACAGAGCCCGUUUGCUAUCGAUAGUAUUUUGCUCAACUCUAUAUAUAUAUAUAUAUAUAUAUAUCCAAUAGUUAGAAAUAAUCAAUAGGAUUGAUCUAAGGGUUAAAAAAUCAGAUGUUAGAGCUCGAGGCCCCAUUGUACGAUACGUACUAUGAUGAACAAGCUUGAUUAACCACUACUGUCUAUUGUAGUUAUUUGUUAUAUAUAUAUUUAUGAAUUAUUAUAAAAAAUUGGAGAUUCGAAUCUCCGUUUGUAUCUCACAUGAUAGGAAGUUUAUAAAUGGAAUAUUUGAAAAGGUUUCUUGUGGAUAUGGACUUAAGCGGGAUUAAGUAGAAACUAAUUAGUGUACUUAUAUCAUGCUUGGCUCUAUUCUUUGGGCUUUGUUUAUUAGAAAUUCACCUGUGAGAAUAGUUCUGUGGAAAAAUAACUAGAGGGUUCUAUUCCUGUUAUAAUUAUAAGAAAAUUUCAUUAUAAGAACAUUUUUUUUACGACGUUUGAAAAAAGCAUAAAUAUUGACGCUUGUAUCAAACCAAUUAUUAUUAAAGCAUUGAAAUAUAUCUUACCGACAAAUAGCAUGAGCGUCGGUACAUAUAUACGGCAACUUUUCGUUUACUGAUGCUUUCAAAUAUGACAGUAGGCUAUUUUGAAAGUCGUUUAAGCAUGGUUAAUUACCGAAAAAAAAAUUACUUAAAUGUUAUUUUUCUUGUAAUGUAUAGUAAUCCUUUUAAAAAUAUUAAAAAUUUUAAAUAGUGUCUAAGUCCUUAUUAGAAAUUCCACUAUAAGGCAGCGUUUGGUAUGGGAUAAGGAUAGGAAUAGACCCUUAUUCCCUCCUUUAUAUCCAAACGCUAAUUUUUUAUCCGAAAAUAGUAGUUCUCGGUUAUCCCCACCAACACUUCGAUUUUCUAUAUAAAACUAUCUAAAAUUGUUCGAAUCUCCAGAAACAAUCCAAUUUUCAUCCAAACGCUAUUUUUUUUAUCCCCGUACUUGUACCUAUUCCUGUAAUAGUUAAUUCUUGUUUAUAUCGGAAUCAAACGGUGCCUUAGCCUCCGUUUGGUUGGGGUUAAGGGGUGGAAUAACCCCUUAACCCCCAUUUUAUCCCCAAACACUUCUAAAAAGGGGUGGGGUUAGCUAACCCCAGCUAACCCCACCUCAAAUAGAUUAUUCCGGGUUAGCUAACCCCACCUAACCCCACCAAACUCCAACCAAACACUAUUUUCUAUUCAUAAUAACCCACUAUCCUUCUUAUUCCACCUACUUCAACCAAACACUAUUUUUUACUAUCCUGGACUAACUCCAACCCCCAACCAAACACAAAAAUACUCUAACCCCACCUUAACCUUAAAUUUAACUCUAUUUCUGGAAUAACUAAUUUUUUCUUAACUCCGAACCAAACGGUAGCUUAGAGAAUAGUGAUCUCUUGGUCCAGAAAGAAAAUGAAAAAAAGGUGAAAGUUAAUUUUUUUUGAGUUUGAUCAUAAGUACUCAUGUCUCCAUCUCUGUGAUUGGACUAUACUUAAAGUUUCAAACAACUGGUAUCAGAGACGAUAGUAGAAAAAUCUAGGGUUGCUCCCCAAAACAAUGCGAUAUGACUGUUGUGGGUUCGUCUAGAUAGAGUCAUGAUAAAUGUGCGACAUGACGGUGAGGCGCACAAUGAAUAGGGUUUAAGAAUUAAGACAAGAAGGCGUGCAUUAGAUGUAUACAUUUGGAUGAGUGAUCGAGUUCGUGAUGACUCAUAAAAGAUUAAAGCAUAUGUGUUUUUUUUUUUUUUUAGAGAAAGAUAACAUACUACCUACUUCGUUUAUUUCAUUUAGAAAUAAAUUUCGUUGAAAAUAUGAAUCAAUUAGUAUUCAAAUUUGAAAUUUCGGAUAUCAAUCAUCAAAUUCUUUGUCACUUACACUAGAGACGAUCGGUCUUAAAGCAUAUGUGUUGUGGAAGAGCCGAGGUGAUUUGCUUCGAAACUCAUAUAUGAGAAUAGUCGUAUGUUAAAGAGAAAUGCUGAGUCUGCAAUCCAAAGAGGUUCGUCGGAUUACGACCCUAUGCGGAUUUUAGCAUUAGAAAAAUAAAAAUUGAUAAAACUAGCGGAUGGAAGUUGACUUCUCUGGCUUGCGGGUUGUAAGAUUACAAUCCUAUUUUAGAUUGUAUGACUAGCAUUGCUCUUGAGUCAAAAAGAAUUAAUAUGCGCUAAUGUAUACAUACAUUUGUGCUGGCAAUAAAUACCGCAAAUCGUUGUUAUAAAUCUUGUGGUAAUAAAUGUCUAAACAAUAUAAUUAUAUUAUUACGAGUCCGGCUACUAUACUCUUAUGAGUACGAUCGCCCUCGUACUCAUAAGUCGUUUUCGAUGAUGGAGCUUUCGAAUCGACGAUCGAUACCGUUAAAUAUUAUUUAGAGUAUUUAAAAAUUCUAGAAAUUAAAUUUUAUAAUUUUUUGACAUCAUUUACCUUACGAUCAAAAGAUCACAAAAUUAAUAAUUUUUAACGGCCAGUAUGGAAUACUUACUAGUUUAACGGUGUAAAAGAAUCGAAAUCGGUUGAAUUUUUGACAGAAAAUUCUAUUCACUAUCUAAAUAAAGAUCAAUAACUCCGAUCUUAAAUUAAAGGUUCCAAUCAUCCAUUUUUAGAACGUCGUUCGAUUUCAACCGUUCAUUUUAUGCCUGCUUGAUGGACUUUAUUAUGAUUUCGAAAUAUUACGAAAUUUAUUUUUUAAAAAUUUUAAAUAUUUUAGAUUAUAUUUAAUGGAGUGGAUCGUCGAUUCGAAAGCUCCAUUACGGAAACCAACAUAUGAGUACUAAGAACUCUAUACUCAUAAUAAGAGUAUAAUAACCCUACUCAUAUUAUUACAAGAGUACAAAUUAUUACAACAAAAUAUAGUUUAAAAUAAUUCAAUAUUUGAUGUAAUUAAAUUGAUAUAAUAGAACAAAAUUGUUGUAGUACAGGCUAUAGCUUCUUUAAACUUCCUAGGGUAGAUGUGAUAGGACUGAUACGAUACUUUAUUUUUUGGAGGAGAGAGUCUUUUUCUUGGGGUUGAUAAUUUUCCAAUCUCGUACUAUCGACUCAUUUUUGCCAAUAUGAAAUCAGAUCUACAAUCUGCGAUGUAAUGUGGAUCGUGCCAGGCCGGCAUGGCUCACAUUAGCCAUGUUGAUUCGGGAUAGGGGCAGGCCUCGCCCAGUCUGGUUCCAAAUCCGUGCCGUGCUUGAGCUACCAAGCCUCCAGCCCAGCACAGCCCUUAGGCCUGGAAGGCUCAGGCUGUGCUUCGAGCUGGUCCCUAAAAAUUUUUAUUUUUUUAAAAAAUAUGUAAAAUAAAAUAUAAAAAUAAAUUAUUUUUAUUUAAAUUAACUUUUGAUUUAAAAUUUUAAAAUUUAUAAAAAUAAUUAUAAUAUAACAAACAUUUAAUUUUUUUUAAAAUGUAUACUUUUGAAAAAAAAAAAAAAAUUGAUAGGAUUUUUGGUCCAUUCCUCCUCCCAAGGUUUGCGGUAGGAGACCUUGAGAGAAGAGCUUUUGGGCCCAAGAGUUCAGACCCCAUGGCCCAAGGCAAGUUGCCUUGCGCCUCGGCGUUUGGGCCGUGCUGUGCUACCUGGCACGACCCAAGCGGGCCGUACUGUGGGGGCCACGAGCCUCCCCACGGUCCGGCACAGCUCAGGCCCGUUUCGGGUCAUGCCGUGCCGUACCGUGCCGUGCCGAGCCGUCAAGCCGAAGGGGGAGAGGCCCAUCAUGGCCCUGAAACUUGGCCGGGCCGAUCCGGCACGGGUGCUACAGCACGGGUGCCUUGCUGCAGCCCGGCUUGAGGCCGUGCCGGCCGUUUUACAACCCUAGAUGUACGUCAAACAUGAUCAACAUUAUUUGGAGUUACUAUAUGCCAAACUUCAUCUUUUUAAUUUUUUUAAAAAGUCGAUUUAUGCUGUAUUAAGUGAUCAGCACCAGAAAAUAAACUGUGGGAAUUGAAAAUUUAGAAGAUAAAUUCUUCAAUGCAAAAUCAAAUGUAUCGAUAUAGAUCUAAAUAGUGUAAAAUUUCUUGCAACUAAAUUUCAACUAGUUGUUUACACUCUUCUACACUACUAAAUGAACAAAUAGUUUACACAGUCCGUUAAAAACUGUCAAUUACUAGAUCAUUCAAUCAUUAAAUAAUAGAUGAUAUCGAAAAACUAUAAAGUUUGGCUUCUCUAAACUUUAAAAAUUGUAGAUUAUUUUAGAUGAUGUGAAUUUUACUACAGACCAUAAGCCCAAGGCCCAUCUAAAAUGAUUUUUUUCGGCCUUGGAUCGAGAUUCGGCCCGAUAGUCAUAAACAAAUUGAGGCGCACCCAUGCAUGUUAAGAUAUUAAGGCAUCGUGCCGGGUGCCAGUGUAAAAGGUCAGAGAUUCGAUCCUCCAUCAAUAUAUUUACAGAAUAGGACCGUUCGAGCUCCUAUCUUCUUAGAAAAAAAAAAUUGUACGUUUCGGAGUGAGGAAUAAUUGCGGUGUGGCCCACGGGAUUCAUAGAAACAAAAAAUGUUAAGAUAUUAAACAUACAUGUUCGGUUCAUAGAAAAAUAUUACAGAGACAAAAAGUAUGUUUCGUUCGUUUGAUUUCCUCAAAUUUUAUGGAAAAAUCUACUUUCUGUUUUCCGAAUUUUUAGUUUCCGAACUUCAUGAAAUUUUUUUUCCAAAAAUAAUUAUUCAUAAUUUUUCUGAGGAACCAAACAGCCCAUAAAUAAAAAGUACAAGAACUAAGACACUACAUUGAAGUAGCAUAUAUAUAGAACUAAAUUAAGAGACUAUACCCAUGUGUACAUUUGUAAUUAGCAAAACCUACCAUUAAUUAAGCAGCUUAAUUAGAGUGUAGCCAAAGUGGAGUGCAAGCAACAAGUUAAUUAAGGAUCUUCAAUUGGGAUAAUAUUAUCUAAUAUACCCUUCGAAAAUUUAAAAGUAUCUAAUAUAACCCUAGUUGAUUUUUAAGAAAUUUCUUCAAAUAUAGUCAAACCCCUAUUCUAUGGUUUACUAAUAGAAUUUAGAAUUUGGAAGGAUAUUUUGAUAAUUUCAGAAUAAAUUUAAAAUUUUUUAAUAGUUGACAUAGGUAAAUAGGCAAAAGUCCCUAUUUUUUUCUUUUUACACCCUUCCCCUCAAAUUUUUUUUUCUUAAUGAAGCAAUUGCUUAUAUACUCUUAAAAAGUUCUUGACUUUUGUACUCACCCCUCUAAAAAUCUUUUAAGGUUCCAAGUUCUUUCGAAUAUAUUCACAGAGUUAAAUUUUGUUAAUGAACUAUUAGACAUAACUGUUAUCUCUGUAAAAUUAUCAUUUUGCCCUUUCAAAUAUACCCUCCCAUUAUCACCAUUUUUUUUUAUUUGUCCUUAAGUUAGAGGCAAAAAAAAUAUUUUAACUUUUUGCACUUUUAAAUAUAUCAUUCUGUCAUUACUAAUUUUUUUUAUUUGAUCUUAAAUUAGGGGCAAAAUAGGUAUUUUCACUAUUUCUUAACUAUGGUAGAAAUUUAACUAAAAGGCUUGAACUCAAAAUUAACUUAAUUAACGUGCACUAACAGCGCGGAUAUUUUUGAAUAACGGAGAAAUAUGCAACAGGUAUAUUUGAAACAAAAAAAAAAAGAGAAAUAAAUAAGAUAUUCAAAUGUUUUGAAGGGUAUAUUGACAAUUAUUCUUUUUAUUUUUUAUGAUGGCAAAGUUAAGGAGUGUAAGCAAUACUCAAAAAAAUCACUGAAAAAAUAAAAAAACACGCUUCUCCUGAGAUUUUUUUUAUAAUGGCAGAGUUAAGGAGUGUAAGCAAAUAUUACUCGAAAAAUGAGGAGUGUGAGAGAGCACUGUGGGGAUUGAUACAUACGCAUGUGGGUGGAUAUUAUUGUUGAACUCGUCAACGACUUCUCUUUCCUUUACGUAUUCGCAACAACGACUUUAACGUUGGCAGGACACUCGUUGAGUGCAUUAGCUUCUNNNNNNNNNNNNNNNNNNNNNNNNNUAACAACGUCAUAUGUUUUGUUUUUUUUUUUUAAAAUUUUAUUUUGGUGGUAUAUAUUUUUAAACUUUAUAGUGCAAGAUAUAUCUGAGUAUAAGAAAGCUGCCUUUCAUGAGUUCGCAUUUGCGAUGAUAAAUUUUCCUGCUACACGCAAAUUUACUAUAAAAAUUUAGGGCAAAUCUUCAAUAUAAAUGCUCACAACUAGAAGAAAAGGCUUUUAAUUUUUAUUUAUUAUAAAAUUAUUAUUUUCAUCCAAAUUCUUGCUUGCUGGAACAUGUCACUUAGUGGAUAUAUAAAUGUUGCAGCUCGCAAAAUUUUAGGUGGGCCCAUUAGCUUUCCAAGAAAAAUGUACCAAAUUUUAAUUGGUGAAUUAGUAAAUUAAAUAUUGCACUAAUGGACUAACCCUAAAUAGAUGAAGCACAUAUCUAUGAAGGACCUACCAAAAAUUUGUUGUCAACAUUAAAAUUAGCACUGAUCAAUGUUUAUUAAUUCUCCUAAGCUUGCAAAGUGUUACUUAAGCUUACGUUUAGGUGCGUGAAAUAUGCGAGCCUGAUUUCUACUUGAGAAAGCAAAAACUAAUCUUGGCAAAUAUGAGUAUAAUGCUAAAUAGUUUGAACAAUUAACUAAAAAAAGAAAAAAAAGAACUUAGUACAAACGGUACAAUAGUACAGUAGUUUGUUUUUGUUUCUAAUAAGAAGCUAUUAACAGUUUAAUAGACGAAAAAUUAUUAGGAAAUGAUAAACACCGAUACUCAAAUAGUACUUCUAAAAGUAAUAAACAUUUUAAUUAUGUCAACAUCAUCAGUACAUACUUUCACACAAGCAAAUUAGGUUGCUGAGACUUGAUUAAAAAUUUUUGAAAUGUUUGAUGAGAAAUUGCUACAAAUCACAAAUUUGAGAACUAAAGUGUCAUCGCCUAAUAGUUUUGGAACCAAAAGUGUACUUUACUCAACAUUAAAAUAAAGAAAAGCCUAAUAGAGCUCGAACCUAUAGAAACCCUUAUUCUUGAUGUCAUUUGAAAUAUUUCUAAAAAUUUAAGGCUAACAGAAAAAUGGUUAUAUUAAUAUUUUAUAUUCAAACAAAAGCUUCAUAAAUCUUUUUAGUCCUCAAUUACCUAAUCCUAGUAUAAUUAGAUCUUUAAAUGAGCUUUUGUUGUCAAAUGCAUGAUAAAGUAAAUCUUCAAGCUAAGUGGAGGUUUAAUUUUCUCCUCCCUAGUAAAUAUCGCUUUUUUCACUUCCCCUCUUGACUUUAAAAUUUAGAUUUAUACUUCUUAUAAAUUUAAAGAAAAUAUUUUCAGAGAAAUUACGGUGUCAAUAAAGGGCAAAAACUUACGCAAAUUGCAUUUACUUAAUUCACUAAAGAAAAAAAUGUGUUCACAACAUCUAGCUGAAAACAACAAGGUACUCUUUUUUGAAAAGUCAAAAAAAAACAGAUUAAAAAUCAUAUUUUAUAGAGAAAUUUUUUUAUAUUUUAACUUAUUAUGUACCCUUUUUUUUGAUAAAUAUCAAUGACAAUAUACUAUAAUAUAUAGAGAGAGAGAGAGAGAAAGAGGUUGUAUCUAUUGGUACUAAUGGAGGCCUUGUGCUAACCUAAGUGUUUUAAUAGACGACUUUCAAAUCUCAUAAAAAUGAUGAUAAAAGACUUUAAUUUAAAGAUCAGAGAUACUAUCUUACUAUAUUAAUAGUAAAAAAAAAAAUCCUAUAUAAAAUUUCAUCAAUUUGGAAAGCGCAUCAUCUGAAACAACUUGAUAGGCAUAAAGCUCUGUGCUACCUGAUAGAUAUACCAGUUUAGCUCUCUCUCUCUCUCUCUCUCUCUCCUCUCUCUCUUAUAUAUAUAUAAUAUAUAUAUAAUAGGAUGGGCUACUAAUGCUAUCGGGAAGCUACGGAGCCUUCCGGCUCAUAUAUAUAUAUAAUAUAUUAUAUAUGAGUCGCGGCUUAUGGUGCUUGUAAAAGUACAAUUAACUUGGUACUUGUAACUUUUGCAUUGUAGAUAUCCUAUUUGAUCAUUUUUACAUCUUAGAUUAAUAACUAUUCAACCAUCCAUCCACGUCAAUUCUAGGGGACCACUAUGCAUUUUAGUCGCACUAUUACACCUUUAAAUCCAACGGAUUUACAAACUAAAAGCACCAUUGACUUUGUACUUUUAAAAACCAUAAGAACUCAUAUAUAUAUAUAGAUAUAGUAUAUAUAAUAUAUAAUAUAUAAUAUAUAUAGUAUAUAUAUAUUAUAUAUAGUGAGGGCUACUAUAGCUAUUGUUUUGAGAAGUGGCCCUUAGUAUCAUAAUUGUUUUCGAUUGAUGGAGCUUCGAAUCGCGAAUCCACUCGUUAAAUAUGAUCUAGAGUAUUUGAAACUUUUAGAAAAAUAAAUUUUUGUACAUUUUCACGAAAUUAUAAGAAAAGUCCAUCAAAGUGGGCAUAAAUGAAAUGGUCAAAAUCGAACGACGUCUAAAGAAAUGAUGAUCGAUCCUUUAAUUUAAAGAUCGACGUUAUUAUCUUUAUUCUAGUAGUUAAUAAAUUUUCUAUCAAAAUUCAAUCUAUUCCGAUUUUUUUUCCACACUUAAACUAGCAAGUACCCAUACCGCCUGUUAAAAAAUUGUCAAUUUAUUCGUGAGCUUCUGAUCGGUAGGGUAAAUGAUGUUGAAAAAUUAUGAAAUUUAAUUUCUAGCAGAUUUUAAAUGCUCUAGAUAUAUGUUUAACGUGUGAAUCGUCGUUUUCGGAAGCUCUAUUAUUGAACAACUUAUGAGUACGCAGGGCGAAUCGUACUCAUAAGAGAUAGUAGCCGACUAUAUACUAAUAAUAUGUAAUAUAUAUAUUAUAUAUAAGAGAUGAGAAGAGAGAGAGAGAGAGAGAGAGAAGAAGAGAGAGAGAGAGACGAGAGAGAGAGAGAGGAGAGUAGUGGACUGCGCUACUAUUAAGUAGCAAAAUCCUGAUUGUUGUACCAGUUUUUUAACCUUCUGGACAACUCUUUUCAUUAUUUCUGACCAUGUGGAUUAAAUACUAUAAGCCGCAGUGGGGACCACUCAACCCUAAGGCGGACCACUCAACUACUAACUGACUAAUACAUUCCCGACUCUACAAUUUUUCAUCUAGCAAGGGUUAAAAACUUACUAGCAAAAAAGUGCGUUUUAACUAUUAAUAGUAUUCCACCUAAUUCUAUAUAUAUAUAAUAUAUGUAUUAUAUAUAGUAUAUAUAUAUAUAUAUAUAUAUAUAUAUAAUAUAUAUAUAUAUAACUAUUUACUCGAAAAUAUACGAGAACCUUACUUCGACUUUUGGCUUCUAGAUCAGCUCUUUUUGAUCAUUGGCUACCUUUGGAUUAAUACUAUUUUUAUUUCGGUUCCUAUGCGGGACCACUCAAUCGCCAGGGUAACCUACUGCAACCUCUAAGGGGGAUGCAAUCAUUCAACCGAUAAUUCUUAUCCAAUUGUCAAAAAAUUAAAAGAAUCAAUUCUCUACACUUCCAAUUAUAUAAUAGCCUUCUCAUCUCUUCUCUCUCUCCUCUCUCUCUCUCUCCUCUCUGCUCUCUCUAUAUAUAUAUAUAUACUAAUAGAAUUAGGCGCUACUAUACUAUCUAAGACGAUGCUCCGGUUACUAUUAGUAUUUGUUUCAAUCUUAGCGGCGUUCAAUCAAUGAUCCCACCGUUAAAUAUGAUUUAAGGUAUAGUUGAAUUUUAGGAAUAAAAUUUAGUUUUUUUGAAUUUUUACUUAGCUAAAUAAAUUAUAUCAAAAUUGACGAUGAAAUUGAAUCAUUUUUUAAAAUUUGAGUAUAGGACUUGUUAAAUUCAAGAUCAAGAAAGUUAACAUUAAUCUAUAUAUUUAAGUAUUUUCUAUCAAAUUUGAUAGAAAUUUAGUUCUUUUACACCGUUAAACUUCAAACUCGUAUAAUAGGCCAUUGAAAAUUGCACAAUUUUGAAAUAGUUGAUCAAUAAGGUAAACUAUGUCGAAAAAAUAUAAAUUUUAUUCUAGAAACUUUAAAUACCCUAGAUCAGUUUUGAACACGGUGUAGAUCGCUUGAUUUUGAACGCCCUAAGAUUGAAAAAACAAACAUAUAUACCGAGCUCGGUACUAUAGAUAGUAUAGUAGCCUAGCUAUUAUAAUAUAUAUAUAUAUAUAUAUAUAUUAUAUAUAUAGAUUAGUACUAGAAUCACUAUUAAUAGUAAAACCCUUUUUGCCUGCUAUCACAGUUUUAACCCUUAGAUGAAAAAUUGUAGGUUAAGAUGAGUAUUAGUCAGUAAGAGUUAGUGGUUCUCUCUUGGGCUUGAAUGGUGCGCCCACUAGGUUUAUAGUAUUUAAUCAAUGGAUUUAGAAAUGAUGGAAAAGCAGUUGCAUCCAAAGGCUAAAAACUGGGUAGCAAACAAUGAAUUUUGUACUAAAGUACUAGUCCAACUCAUAUAUAUAUAUAUAUAUUAUAUAAUAUAAUAGAGCAAGGCUGCCGUGUGCUCUCAAGGAGCAGGAAGGCCUCUCGGCUCCUGAGCCGUUGUCAAGAUGGAGUUUCAAUCAACGAUCGGCUCGUUAAAUUGAUCUAGCGUAUUUAAAAGUUUCUAGAAAUAAUAUUUUGCGAUUUUUCGAUAUGCAUUUACCUAGGGCAAUCGAAAGGAUUCAAAUCAUAAUUGUUUAACGCCUGAAUAAAAUCUAUAGAAGUUGGUGGAUAGAGCACUAAAUUUUCGAUCAGAAAAUAUAGAUCUUUGUUGUAGUAGUAUAAAGAAUUUCUAUCAAAAUUUCAUCUUGAUUAUGAAUUACUACACCGUUAAAUUUUGAAAACGGCAGAUACAACCAUUAAAAAUAUGGAUUGGAAUCAUUUCGAUCAUUAGGUAACUGAUAUUGAAAAUCUGCAAAUUAUUUUCUAAGAAAUUCAAAUGUGCUAGAUCAAGUCUAACAGCGAUCGUCGAUUCGAAAACUCCAUCAUCGAAACACGACUCAGAGGCACGGAGCGCCUCCGCUGCUCCUCGAGAGCCAACAAGCAGCCUCUGCUCUAUAUAAAUUAUAUAUAUAUAUAUAAUAUUAAUAUAUAUAUAUAUUAUAUAUAUAUAUAUGAGCACAGAAGCUUUUUUUUUUUUUUUUUUUUUUUUUUUUUUUUGCUUGUGGAAUGAAAUUUUGAUGUAAAUUUUUAAUAUUUAAUAUUUAAUUUGAAUUUAAAUUAAUAUAUUAUAAAGAUAAAGUUAGUAUAUUAAUUUGAUUACGCUUUUUAUAUCUACAUGAACCAAACACCGACAAUAGAAAUGAUUUAUUCCGAUUCCGAUUCAUGUAACAAACCAAACAGAAUUAGGUAAUGAGUCAUUCUGAUUCCGAUUCCAGCUUAUUUAUAUUUCGAUUCUGAUUCUGAUUCCGAUUCCAACUUCGAAUCAAACGCGCCCUUAGUAUAUUAUAUAUAGAGUCCGGUUGGAAUACUAUCGAUAGCACUAAGGACUUGGUGCUAUCGAGUUUUCCACCGUUAGAUUUAAUCUUUUGAUUAUUUUUAUCCGUUAGAUUGUACUAUUCAAUCAACCACUUACUCAACCCUAGGGGGCUCACAUCAUCCUAAGCACACAUUUUUUAAUCAAAGGGCUAAAAAAUUAAUAGCACCAAUAGUUUUGUACUAUUGAUAGUAUUCCAGCCUAGUUCUAUAUAUAUAUAUAUAGAGAGAGAGAGAGAGAGAGAGAGAGAGAGAGAGAGAGAGAGAGAGAGAGAGAGAGAGAGAGAGAGAGAGAGAGAGAGAGAGAGAGAGAGAGAGAGAGAGAGAGAGAGAGAGAGAGAGAGAGAGAGAGAGAGAGAGAGAGAGAGAGAGAGCUAUUAUACAAUUGGAAGUGUAGAGAAUUUGAUUCUUUUAAUUUUUUGACCUUUGGAUUAAGAAUUAUACGGUUUGAAUGAUUGCAAUCCCCCUUAGGGUUGAGUAGUACUCUGGAUUGAGUGGUCCCUAUAGGAUAAUAGUAUUAAUCCAAAGGUUAGCAAUGAUCAAAAGAGCUGAUCUAAAAGCCAAAAAGUCGGAAGCACUAGGUUCUCUAUAUUUUCGAUAAUAUAGUAUAUAUAUAUAUAUAUAUAUAUAUAUAUAUAUAUAUAUAUAUAUAUAUAUAUAUAUAUAUAUAUAUAUAUAUAUAUAUAUAGAUUAAUANNNNNNNNNNNNNNNNNNNNNNNNNCAUCCUUGUAGUGUAGCUUUAGAGUGCGAGAGAAAAGAGGAGAGAUAGAGAGAGAGUGCAACUACAAUAUAUAUUAGAGACCCAUCUCCAAAGUUUUCAUUGUUUCAUCUCUCUCUCUCUCUCUCUCUCUCUCUCUCUCUACUUGCACUCCAACAAGUCCAAAGAUAUAUAUAUACAUAUAUAUAUAUAAGAAAAGCUUUGUAUAUUGUGAGGAGAUGUUGAGCCAAGCAAGAGUGGGAUUAUUAUGGGAGGAGCUCUUGAUCAUCAUGGGCCUACUUGGGGUGCAAUGUGUCUUUGGGGUGUACAUGGUGUUCUUGAACCAAAUCCUCGCCCUCGGCGUCGACCCCUUGUUCAUCAUCGCCUUCGGGGGCCUCGCUUCCGCUGUCACCCUCCUCCCCCUCGCCGCCGUCUUCGAGAAGUAUAUACACAUAUAUACACAUAAAUACACAUAAAUAUACAUAUAUAUAUACAUGUCUUCUUCUUCUUCUUCUUGGUUUCUCUUGAGCAUUGAGAGGUGAUCAUGUGUGUGUGGUGUGUUUGAGUUGAUCAUCACUAUUUUCAUGCAUGUGCAGGAAGAAAUGGCCUGCAAAGUUGAGCCCAACUCUGAUGGCUAAGUUUGUGAUGUUGGCUUUAGGAGGGUAAGAAAGCAACUUUUACUUUUACUUUGCUUUGCUCUUACUCUUUCAAAAUUCUAGGUAUUUAAUACACUUUUAUAUUGUGAAAAAAAAAAGAAAAGAUAGAGAGAAGGAAUUGUUGGUAUUAAAGGUCUAUAUUUCACAAAUUUAUAUAUUAUUACUUCAAUAGUACAAAUAUUUUGCAUAGAAGAUACUUUUUUACUUGACUGUUUGUUACUUGUUAUUCCGAGUAAAGCUGUUUAUGGAAGCACUAACUAUUUUUAUUUUUUUUUUACUAAAAUCUUCUUAAAUGGUUUGAAUUUAAAGGUUUUACUUUCUGGCUAAUAAGCUUGUUUACCUUCGUUGAUAAUAAAAGCUUUAGACUCUUUUUUAUUAAUUUAUCAAGCACGACGAUAUAUAUAACUAGCUACGUACUACUUUUCGAUGUAGAAGAGUAGCACUUUGGGUCUGUUUCGUAGCAUAUACUUAUGACUAUCAUACAAAUUUAAGUGUUUAUGGAUCAAAACAUAAUAUUUGAUUUGAUGCAUUUAAGCAUAUAUAUAUAUAUAUAUAUAUAUAUAUAUAUAUAUAUAUAGAGAGAGGCUACUAUGCUAUCGGAAGCACGGAGCCUUCCGUGCUUCCAGCUCGUUUUCGCAUGGAUCUAUGGAAUUUUCGAUCGACGAUCGCUGCCGUUAGACUUGAUCUGAGCGCAUAUUGAAGUUUCUUAGAUAAAAUAAUUUUUUGCGAUUUUUCGAUAUCAUUUACGUAGUGAUCGAAAAGGAUUCAAAAUCUAUAAUUUUAAUGGUUGUUCUGCCGUUUUUAAGUUAUAGCGAUGUAGAAGUAUUCAAAUAGAGUGAAUUUUGAUAGAAAAUUUUUAUACUAUCUACAACAAGAUCUAUAUGUUUUGAUAAAAAUUUUAGUGCUAUAUACCACUUUUUAUAAGAUUUUUAUUUUCAGGUUAAAAUUAUGAUGUUUGAAUCUUUGAUGUGGUACGGUAAAUAUUAAUCGAAAAAACCUCGCAAAAAUUAUAUUUCUCAGAGAACUUUAAAAUACGGCUAAGAUCAAAUUUAACGGAGGCCGAUCGUCGAUUGCGAAACUCCAUGCAUCGAAAACGCCUGGCAGGAGCACGGGAGGCAUGCUCCUGAGAGCACAGAGCCACUACUCCAUAUAUAUAAUAUGUACUGCUUCUAACAAUUAAUUAAUCUCACCAAACUCUUAUGUGUGCAUAAAUAAUAGAAUUUUUGUAAAUGCUGUACUUUUCACUGUACGUAACUAAGCAAUUUUUAUUUUGUGCAUCCAAUCAAAUAAAAUCCAAAUAGGUAUACUCUGUAUGUUUAACAUAUAUACUACACUGUAUUUACGUAUUAUCCAAUCCAAACGGCCACUUAGCUAUAUAUAUAUAUAUAUAGAGAGAGAGAGAGAGAGAGAGAGAGAGAGAGUUGAGCUGAAAUGCUAUUAGUAACAAGCGGGCUCCGUUGCCACCCAUUUGUUUUCAAUGAUGGAGCUUCCAAAUCAACGAUCGGCACAAUUAAAUAUAAUCUAUAUCACUUGAAGUAUCUAAAAAUCAAAUUUCAAAAAAAAUAUUCAAAUCAAUUGAAUUUUAGUUAGAAAAUUCUUUAAACUAUUUAGAACAAUAUCUAUACUCUCAAUCUUGAUUGCAAAACUCCUAUCAUCACUUUUUAGAGAAUAUUCAUUUUCAAUCAUUCAUUUUUGUGUCCACUUGAUGGACAAAAGAAUAAUAUCGGAAAAGUAUGAAAUUUAAUUUCUAGAUGCUUCGAGUGGUAUAAACCAUGUUCAACGGUACCGAUCAUCGAUUUGGAGGCUCCAUCAUCGAAAACAAAUGGGUGGCAACGGAGCACGUUUGCUACCGAUAGCAUUCCAGCUCAUCUCUCUCUCUCUCUCUCUCUCUCUCUCUCUCUCUCUCUCUCUCUCUCUAUAUAUAUAUAUAUAUAUGAUGUAGUAAGGGCAUAAAACCUAGGUAAGAUGUUGCUAUUUAAUUAAUUACUCUUUUUAGAAACUUUAUUAAGAUAUAACUUGGUAGUGGGAUUACUUCAAAGAAGGGCUUUUGGACCAGCAUAUGAGAAAAUUAAAUGGAUUAAACUAGUAUUAGAAUAAAGAACUUUGUUUAGCUAAGAACAAGUAAUGAGACAAUACCAAUUAGUUCAGUGUGUUUGUUAUAUGUUGCAAUUAGGUGAUAUUACAUGAGACAAAUUCUUUUCUGCAUCAAUUCUGUCGAGUUAUAUAGUAUUAUAAAUGAAUGAUUUAAAUAUAAACAGUAUAAUACUUUUAUAUUAAAAUAAUAUUAAAAAAAUAUUCUUAUCGAAUGCUACUGUUGCUAUAUGAAAUAACUGUUACAAUAAAAAAACAUUAGAGCAAUAUGAUAAAUUCAAGAUAAAAAGAUGUUAAAAAAACAUUUAUAUUUUUUUACUUUUCCACCAGAUAAAAUUAUCUAAUUUGACAUUAUGGUGAAGUUGAUGGCAUAUUCUAAAGUUGAUUUUGAUGAUCUCACAGCCCAAGUGGGCCAUUCCACUAAUACUUGUUGUGGGGAAAAAUAAAAAAUAAAACAUGUAUUUACAAAUUUUAUUACUUUAUAUAUAUAUAUAUAUAUAGUGGUAAGAUUAUCCCUGAUGUGAAAGAAAAAAAAUAUUUGUUUAGUUUAAAGUAUAAUUGGGUAGUUAGUAGGCUCUCUGAUGAUGAUUAUUAUUAUUAUUAUUAUUAUUAUUAUUAUUAUUAUUAUUUUCAACUGUUGCAGUUGGAACUAUAGUUAAUUUAAAAUAAUUCUAACUCCAACUACUACAACAAAACCUCAUGCAAUAUUUGAAUUCAAGUGUGUCAAAUCAAACAUCAUAUAUAAAUCUGUACGCUCAGGGUUGAGUAUUUUAUGCUUAACCAAAAUGUUCAAAAAGUUUACAAGUUACUAAUAUUAGUACGGUAAUUUCGACUUAAAAUGGACCUGAUCUGAUCUGAUCUGAUCUGAUCUGAUUAAAGUUAAAAAAAAGGUCUAGAACCACCACUAAAUUUACAGAGAAUUUAAUUGGUUGGUGCAAAAUCAUAAUCAGGAUUGGUGCAACACCUAAAAAUGUAAUCAUAUGGAAGAAUCUUCUUUUGGAUGACUUGGUUCACAAACUUUGUUCAUGGUAAAGGGUUGGUGGACUUGCUUUUCCUGUUUUGAUUAUCUUUUGCUGCUGCUGAUGAGCAACUAGAUUAAGAAAAAAUUAAAUGCUAACCAAAAAACACUUUAGUGUCCUAUUUGGUCUAACUUAUGCUUCUGCUUGAAGUUGCAACUACUCGUAAAAUAUUUGGCAAACAAAAAAGAAAAAGUUUCUGCUAAGGCAAAAAAGAUUAAAAAAAGAAGCUUCAAAGGCCCAAGUAGAACUUACAGUUUAGAACAUUUGCUUCCAUAGCAGGUUAUAACUCGGGGGCAAAUUCUGAUGAAAGAAAAAUUGUUAGUGAUAAUUCAUCAGUUCUAUCCAAAUAACACUUCUUAAGCAACUCCGUAACAAAUCUCAAGGUUUCAUAACAAACACCACACAAACUAAUUAUGCAUUAACAACAUACUUUAGUAGCAUAUAAAGCAAUAAUAAUACGAAAAUUGUGUUCAAAUUUUGGCUGUGUACUUCCAGAAAACUCAAAGAGUCCCAAUUCUUCAAUCUGGGUGCCUAAGUUUGUAUGAGCAUGUCAGCUAAUUGGCAUCAAAAUGUCCAAUUUGUUAGGGUUACCAUGUUUCAAGCUCUUAUGUUGUUUGGGGUCGAGAAGACGUCGCCAGCGAUCGCCUCCGCCAUGCCCAAUCUUGCUCCUGGCUUCAUCUUCAUCAUUGCAGCUUGCCUCAGGUUUGUAGAUUGUACCAUGAGAUUAAAAGCAUUCACUCAUAACUUUGAUGCUUGAUAGGAAUCAUUGUGAAGAGAGAGAGAGAGAGAGAGAGAGAGAGAGAGAGAGAGGAAAAAUGGAAGAGGAACUAAUAAUUUAGCCAGUGGCACUGAAUCUACUGAUGGAACAAAAACUGUUGUUGACAGAAUAUAUGUAUAGAAACUGAUCAAACGUACCAUCAGAACACUAACCAGAUUCAAUAAAUGUGCUCUGCGCGCGCAGCCUUCUCACUUAUAGAAUGAAAGAAAGUACACUUUCCUCUCAGGACCAGAGAACAUUUAACUCUUUGUAGACUGUUGGUUUCGCCUUGCAAAACAAUCAAUACACUUCUAAUGUCGAAUCCAGAUCAACCAAGACAAAUAAAGCAUUAAGGCAAACUCAAUUCUUUGGUGUUGGAGCCAACAGAUUCUAAUUUGUUCCGUUUUGUAGGUUAGAGAAGUUUGAGAAGACGUGCAGGUACAGCAGAGCCAAGAUUGUAGGGACCAUGGUGUGCUUGGGUGGGGCCAUAGCUAUGAGCUUCCUCCAAAGCCCUAACACUCACACCUCCCCUGAGGCUACUUCUCUUUUGCAUGAGCACUUGGAGAAUGAGAAUAGCAGCUACAGUGACUGGAUGUUAGGUUGCUUCUACCUUCUUGCAGCAGUAGUUGUCUUAUCUUGCAACACUGUUUUGCAGGUAAAAUAUCUGUUAACUGAGCAUUAAUUUUUCAUAACGAUGAAAUGACACAUAUAUAAUUACAUAUAUGUUGCAGCAAGAUAAUACAAGCAUACAAAAAUACACAAAAACAGGUAAACAUGAACUUAUGUAUGUAUAUACAGGAGAAAAUCUGAAUUUUUAAAUUUAAUUCCUUUGAAAUUUCACCCUUCAUAUAUGUAACCUCGCAUCACUCAAAAUUUGCAUACAUGGCCAGAAAUGUUGUUAUGUGAAGGCUAAAUUGCAUUCCUAGUACUCAAAGCUUUGAGGAGAGUUAUGCUUUAACUCUAAAUUUUAAUUUGCUGUGAAUUUUUAAUAUGAAUUUUUAUAUUGUAAUCAAGUCUUGCAGUCACAGUUAAUAGAUUUAAUGAUUUUUAGUAUAAUAAUGACAUGACAUUGCAAUCACGAUCACGUCACCACCACAUUUAGCACCAUGUUAACCUAAACAGUGAUGCACCAUCGUAAUCAUUGCAACACACACUACCUGAUCACAAUCUUUAUGGAAAUUUGAGCUAAAAACAGCAAUAAAUUGAAGUUCUUAGGUACAGGGUAUAACACACCUCAGCAUAUGAGCACCAGCACUCCAAUUUAGCCUCAAAGAAAAGACAUUAUAGAACAGAAACAUCUUACUGCAGUGAAGAUAAAGGUAAAUCUAAAAGAAACUGCAAUUUUGCAGGGCAUAGCUCUACUCCCAAAUUAGUGCAAAUACAUAAAUAGCUAAUUUGACAUAGUUUUAUAUGGGAAAGGACUUAUUUGUAUUCUAUUAUCAUGUUAGCAAUUGUUGCAUUUCUCCCAAAUACCAUCCAAUCUUACAAUUUGAUCAGUUUUACCGAAAAACAAAUAGUUUAUCAUUUAUUUGUUUCUCAUAUACUUUGAAUAACAAAGCAGAACUAAAUCUAUUUUGCAAGUAUAUUAAGACAAGAUAUGCUAAUUGUUAUAUUAGUAUCAAUCUUAACCAGUAAUUUCUUAGGCGGCAACAUUGGUCGACUUCCCUGCGCCGUUAUCUUUGUGUGUCAUAACCUCAAUCAUGGGCUCCUUUUUCACUGCAAUUCUUCAAUUCAUCAUCAACGGCAAAUUAUUCAUCGGUUCGACCGAUAUCAGCAUAAUACACAGCAUCGAAUUUGUCAUCGUGGUAUGUUUCACUGAUUUUUCUACUUCCUAUACGAAAUUUAGUUUUCAAUUUCCAUCAACCAUUGUUUACACUUCGUUUAUUUCUAUAUGACGUUUAUUGCCAAUAACAAUUUUCUUGAUCUUUCUUUUAUUGUUGCUCUAUUUAGGGCGGGACAGUGAUCGGAGGAUGCGUUGCAUUUCAAACAUGGGGUGUUGGUAAGAAGGGGCCAGUGCUUGUCUCUAUUUUCAGCCCUGUCCAAACCGUCUGCUCUGCAGUCGUCUCGGCUCUUCUCCUCAAACAAGUGAUUAGCCUAGGAAGGUUAGCAUCAUUUUCCUCACGCCCUAAUAGUUUCAUAUCAAAAGAUGUUAAAAAAAUGAGUGGAGUACAUAGAAUACUUAUUAAUAUUACUGAUUUAAACUAAAGCAUUUUGAGUCGAGCUUUAGGUCUAUUCUAAUCUAGUGCACUCAAAUUUGCACCUGGGUCAUGGUUAUUCAAAUCAUUUUCUGUUCAUUGCAUGAACUCCUUUUGGGAACGUAAUUUCUUUCUGCUGUAACAGUGAAGAUAUUCAAAACAGCUAAAAAGAAUGAUCGUAAGUAACCUACUUUUGGAUAAAAUUAACAUAGAAUUGAACCAAACCAUUUUGUUGAUGAUGCAGCAUUCUCGGAAUUGUUUUAAUGUUUUCUGGCCUUUACAUCGUCUUGUGGGCGAAGAACAAGGAAAGCUUCGGCACACUUGAAGACGACGAUUUCUCGACGCAGUCCACUGAAGACAUCGAGAAGCCUCUCCUGUCUUAGUAUUUUGCUAUAGUUAGUUAUUAACUUAUUAUUAUGUAAAUUAAAGAAUCUAUAGCCUGUUUGUAAACAACAAACACAAGAAUUCCAAGGAAUUAAAUUUCUAGUUCCUUUUUUCGAAUUUACUAUUUGGAUAGGCAAUUAAAGGAGCCACAUAGCGACACGCGCCCUCUUACCUUUCCCUCUUCUCAACUAUCUCCGUUCUUCUAUUUCUUUCCUUGAUUCAUUUAAAUUAUUUUAAUCACUUUAUCUAUAAUUCCUUUACACGUACUCCACUUUCUUCUCCUAUUUUUUUUAAGCAACUUUAUUAUAAUUAUUGUUUUAAUUGCUUCAUCCAAUAAUUUUCCUUACAUAAAUUGUCUUACAAAUUAUGUAAGUGCUAAUGUCCUUGUAAAGUAUUUUCUCUCACAUAUAUUGUCAUAAUAUAACAUUAGGUGAUCAGGAAGUCUGAUGGAAUUUCAAAUGCACAAAACAAUAAGGAAGAAGACAGAAUACCUAAACACAUGCUUACUCCGUAAUCAACGUGAUAACUUCGCUUCAGCUGUUACACAACAGGAUGACAGUGAAGAAGAUAACACUACUUUGCAUUACAAGAAACAUUACAUUGAGAGUACACAAGAAAAGUACAAUUGAAGUUUCCAAUUAAAUAACUAGUUAAUAAUUACUUCAAUUGUACAACAACCUUAUGCUAGUUACCUAGAAUUUUGUGGAUAUCUAAAAGAAUGUAUAUUUUGCACUCUAAACAGACGCAGAAAAAUUUCAUGAGAAUUCGACCACAAUAAAAGGAUUAUGCAAUAAUAGCUUGUACCUGUCGCAAGGAUUAAUUCUAUGAUGGGUAUGAGAAUGAGGGUUUAAUGGAGAGUUCGCCAAUCGAAGGCUCGAAGGAGGCCUCUAUUUUGGCGUAGCAUGAAGCUACAUUGACCACCACUGGCUUGUUGAUAAGCUGUACCCCUUGUUUCCAGUGUCUAUUAACUGAUACCAACCACAUUGGAGCACGAAGAAGGUUUAGAAUAGAUUAAAAAAGUUAACACCUGAUCAAAUCUUGGUCUGUAAGAAUACUACAUGAGAUGCAAUUUAACAAGAUCAAAAUGCUCCACAUUGAUUGAUUUUGUAGUUAUUGAUGCUAACCUGGUCCAGUUGAUAUAGAAAUGGAAUCUCUUUCAUCGAUCAGCCAAUCAAUCCAAAGAGCAAAGCCAUGGCAUGUUCCUGGAGUAGAAAAUUCAAUCUGCUUGACAAUAAUGUGAAAAAGAAAAAGAAAAACUCAGGUUAGUUAAAAAAACAAGGAAAAAGUCAUUGGUCAGACAGCUUUUGAGCAAAUCAAAACACCUUGCUGCAAAAGUGAAUGAGAGAAACUAGUGGUUAGAGAGAGAGAGAGAGAGAGAGAGGCUGGGUGUUACAUAAAUCAUCAAAGGUUAAAUAGAAAAUGUGCACCAAAUUAUAAGAUGCACAGAAGGCCUACAAAUACAUCAAAAGUACAGUACCUCUGUUUUCCCAAAACAGGCAUGAAUUGGUACCGAGAAAUCAAACUCCAUGAUAGAAUAUACCUUACUGAGUUCCUGUUGUGGACAAAAUGGAUGAGUCACAUUGAGAGAUUAAAGUAUGGAUAUCUUUACAAUACUUUUGCAAAAAUCUGGCAUUUUAACCUUAAUAUCACCACAUUGCCAUAAAUAGUAAGGCAGGCAAGGACCAUCCUCCGUUGUGGGUAAGUCACCACAGGCUCCAAGAGCCUCAUUCACAGCCGAAUGAUCAAAGCCUUCGACAUCCUUCAAGCUGCGGCGACUCCUCCACAAGUCCUGAAUAACAAUACGGACUAAGAUUAUCCUCCUAAUAAAAGAAUGAAUGAACAAAAGAAACUCAGGAGAAAUGAAGAUGAGAUACUCACGGGAAGAGACAUGGCACAAACUUUUAGGAUUCCCUUACGAGGCAUGAUGAAUGCAUCUUCAGCUAGGAUUGAAUCGAGGAGGGUUCUUUCCUUCCUUGAUCCAGCUAAAGAGUAUUAGAAUAGUAAUGUCGGCUUUUGGCGAAAAUAGAAACCCGAGAAAAUAUAAGAGAUUGUGAACUUCCGACAGACAACAGAUAUAGUUGAAUAGCUCAUACUAACCAAAACCGGAGGUUCUGCCACGGAAGCAUCCCUUCGUUCCCAUAAAAGAAAGGUUCCCCCACAAAAAGAUCAACCUGAGGAAAAACACAAAUGAAGUAAUAGCUUCCACAUCGAAACACAAGAACAAUACUGUGAAAGUACAUCCUCCCCUCAGUGGCAAUACAUGCAAAAUAAAAAUGGCAUAUGGAAAAGGCCCAAAAUAAUGCUCCAAAGACACAUUUGUUUGAUAAGGAAGCAGUUUUGUAAAAGAUGUCAAAGAUAAGACAAAAAAAUGGGGUAUUAGCCAUAGUUCCCAAAACGUCCACCGAUGAUUGCAAAUUUGUUCUACUAGUGACUCUUAAGCACAAGAAAGGUCAAAGACAAGAUCAGAUUUCACACAGAUUUGCAGAUCAAAUCAAUUUCUGAACUCAUUCUGCAUCUCUGGAUUUGCUUAAAUUCUCCGACAACAUUUACCACCAUGGUACACAAAUAUUCUAAAAUACAAUAUAGAGAAGAAGAAUCAGUUUUUUGUGUGUUUGAACAGAUUUUUCAUGAAAGACCGGAAUUACAUGUUAUAAGCCUUGAAAAUUUUGUUGUUGCUCACAAUGUGAAAUUACCUUUCUCGGUGUAAGGUCAUCUGAGAUCAAAGAUGAGGUCCUUUUGCCGAUCACCUUUAUCCGAUCCAUCGAGAAACCAUUGGCAUCGGAUAUAGCUUGAAUGUAACAGGCACCCUUAUCUUGGAGCCCAGGAAAGAUUGAGAUAACAUGUGAUGUUUUAGAAAGAGAAGCAAUGAGAGUAGUCAAGAAAACACUGUCAUCAGCGACAAUGCACGACGGAGAAGAUCUGGUAUUUAGCUGAACAUUUAAGAAAAUAAACAUGUGUAAGGUACGUUUGGGGGAAAACAAUGCUCUUAAGGUAGGUCAAUAUUACCCGCAAAAAAAAAAAAAAAAAAAAAAAAAAAAAAAAAAAACACAACAACAACAACAAAGCAAAACAGAAACAAAAAGAAACAAAAACUUGGACAACAUACAACUACGAAUAUUUAAACCUGUUACAGGUCCUAUUAGUCAAUACCAGAUGUUUCCUUUCUGGCAAUCAACUUGGAAACCCAGAACUUUGAAACUUGCAAAGAUUGUAUGCUUUUGGAAGAUUACAAUGUUUAUAGAUGGGCUGCAAGUUUGGAAAUACACAAACAAAUUUAAAACAGUAAAUAAUACCCUACAAACAAAGUGUGGAUGCUAGAGCCUAAUUAAUUGCUCAAAGAAUCAGUUCCUGACCGGAACGUAAAUGAUAACAAAAUAUAAAGCAAAUGCUUACAGCUUCUUUGACUGCUUUAGAUAAGACCAAUCUCCAAUCUUUAUCACCAUAAAGUGCAACCUUCUCUGGCGGCAACACAAGAAGAUGGUCACCCAAGCUUGAGUGAUUACAACUCGUCUGUUUUUCGACCACCAUAGUGUAUGAGAUGCUAGUUUCAUUAUGUGUAGCUUUUAGGGAAAGAUAUUUAUCCUUUAAAGCAGGCAUUCCAGUCCCAUCAAUGAACCAAACACAUUGUUUCCAGUGAUCACACCAAUUGUUAGUACCUACACAAAAAGGACUAGAGUGAGUGAUGUUAUCGUAAGUGUUCAUGUAGUAAAUUGUAAAAUUGAGAGGUUUCAACAUGGACUUUGCAAAUUGGCGGCACUGUUUGAAUCAAAAUUUUUGUUAGUACAUUGUCUUUUUUUCCUAUGCACAUAGCAAAAAAAUGAUUUGACGCACCGAACAUAUGUGAUGAUUUAUUCUGACAAAUGGAUGAUCUCACCCAUCUAGGAGCGGUAGAAUAGAAGAUUGAGCCAGCAGAAUCCAACUGAAGUACCCACCUGCAAAUAGAUCCCGGGUAUGUGUGUGUCUUAAGUCACUACCAUGAUUAAGAGACAUUUACCUACUUACAUUUAUACCCCCUACAACGUCAUUUAAUAUUUAUGCAUGAUUUUUCAUGCAUAUCCUUCAAAAGCUUAGUUUCUUAUAUAUAUGCCGUUGUACUUACAAAUAUAUGCCACCUCUAAAUGGUUUAUUUAAAUAAAACUUACAUUCCACACCAUAUUGAAAAACAAAUAAGGUCACUUUUUUUAGCACACACCUGACGGGUCCAUAUGGAAAUUUGCAUUUCACAGGAUAUAAUUUUGGUGAAAUAUAUACAUAUGUCAAAGCGCCCCAUAAUUAAUUACACAAGUAAGAAUGAACUUUACCAUGAAAUAACUGCAUGAACUUUUCCAUCAUCAAUUGCUUUUAUCUGAAUCUCUUUCUCCCCAUAACUCGCUGGUCUCUUCCAAAAGUCAAAUUCAAAAAUCUUGAAUGGCUCUGACAACUAAAUGGAUACCGAAUUAGGAUACAAACAUUCAUUUCCUAUCUGUGAAAGAGCUCCAAAGACAGCCUAUUACCAGUCGAAUCCCCUCUGAUAUUGCAUUGCAGUGCAUUGCAUAUUGCUGUGGCUUUGCUGAAAUAAUUCGUUCCAACCCAUUUGGUGUGAGAUGUAUGCCAUCCAAAGAAUUUACUUCAUUGUUGUGCAAAUCAUGCAUCUUCCACAAGAAUGGGCUUUCAACUAGCUAGUUAGCAAAGAAACGUAGGUACAAAAAUAUUAGUUCUCUCAGAAAAUUAAACCUUGGAUUUUUGGCGAACUAAGUGAGGACUAGAGAAAUAUAACAGCAAUAAAAAGGUGUUCAAAAAGGUCUUGCAUACUUUAGUUUGGUAUGAUACGAAAAACAGAAAGUGCAGCGCACGUGAAAAAGGAACAUAACGAUCAAAGAUAAUGGCACGUCAUUUCUCUAAAGUCCAAACAAUAAGCAAAUUGUCAGAAAGUAAAAGCUUCAUGAAAAGGAGUGCAUUACAAUCCAUUUAGGUAAUACACAAACAGAAUCACUGUCAUAUGGAAUUUUAAAUAAUUAUGUCAGAAAAUAUCCUGUGUAGCAAUCAAUAAAGAGCAACUCCAUGUAACCCCUAUAAGGAAGAUCCUACAAUGAUAAAAGUAGAUGGCAUGAACCUGCCCAUAGGUAGUGGCUCUAUAUGGAACUGUUUGUGGAUUUUUUACGAGUAGCAUGUCAUGUGCGUGCUGAAGGGUAGGUAUCAAUCCUUCACCCAGCAACUCUGAAUCCAAGAUCUCGCUAACCUGCGAAAUAUCACUAAAAUUUCAUUAUAGGAAAAAGGUGCUUCAGCGUGCAUAUUUUGCAUCUCAGGGGCAACCAUCAAAAAUUACUCCAAUUGCAUUGAUUACAUGGUUGCACAAAGCCACUACAAGUAGUGACAAAGAUACCUAGAUGAGCAAUAAUUCUAGAGAACAGCUGUGACACCCCAGUAUGGAUGAGUGAAAGAUAGUGUGUGAGUAUAUAAACGCUCAAAUCUCUAGUAGUAUUAACUUGGGCUUAAGCAUUUAGGCUGGUGCUCUAGGUCCAACAAGUUGCUAAUACUAGUGGGCUGGGUCGUUACGAUAGCCCUUUGUUGAGAAGCAAUUUCUUAUAGUAGUAUGAAAUAUAAAUCAGCUGCCAACCGUGAAUAUAACUUUAUGUUUCUUAAAGACAUAACUCUAAUCAUUAUCAAAAAGAACAAGCCAACUAAUGCAGACGCAGUUCUCAUUUUUUCAAUAUUGGUAAUCAGGCGGUUAGAAAGAUGGACUAAAAUUGGACACUCCCUGUUUUAUCCAGAUAUUUUGCCUUAGCCCCUGAAAUUUUCCUUAAAACAUUUUACUCUGCGAGUUCUCAUAAAUUGUAAUCCUAUCAAAAUCCUGAAGUUAUUUCUGAAAAGGGCCAUUUGAUCCCUUCAAUGGUAAAAAACACUCCCUUGUUUUAGUGACUAUGAAGCGAGACUAAAUAGGUAAUUUUAUAGGUCAAAGCCACAUGUAGUCAGAUAUCUAUUUAACAUCCAGGAAAACUUUGAGAGCAUGGAAAAAAUUCAGGGACUAAUUCGCUAUCCCUACAUUUUUGCCCUAGGAAUGGGGCCAAAACCAAGUUCUCACGAAAGCAGGGGGAACCAACCAGUAGAUCAGCCGGCGACUCAAGUUCAACUCCAACUUGAAGCUCAUCUGAGCGUUUGUAGAACACUUUCACCAUUGUCUCCAUGCCAUUUGCUCGUAGUACCCUCCGCAUCAAUUUCCACAUUGGUAAGUAGGAUUCGCAUGCCGUCACCUUACCCUCCUUCUGACUGUCAAAUUUGGCCAUCGCUCUUGCUGCCAUCAUGGAGAGUAACCCCGUUCCAGCUCUGCAUCCCAUUACAAUGUUAAUGUUUUAUUCGUAGUUCAGGAUUUCUUUUACCUACAUCUACAGAUAAACUUCAAACUUUCCGACUUAAUUUCUAUAUCACUUUAAAAAAUUGAUCUUAGCAUUUGCUUGCUAAAACAAAAUUAUACAACAAUUGUAGUCAAUUCCACCACAACGGUUGCGUUUUGGCAUCAAGAAUGCUAAUCUAUAUUGCCAGCAUGUGUUUUUAGCUAUUCCCUCAACCAUUUGGCUAACAUUUGUCGCUCCAAAAAGGCAUUUUUAAGUUAUGUGGCCAUCUGCACCAUUCUGAUAGGAUACCAAAUAUCAAAUCUUCAAAGUUUCAAUGGUUACCUGCGUGCAAAUGAGAUAAAGCUCGGGAACUUCCCGUGCAUUUAUCCCUAUAUUAAAUGCAAAAUCCUCGCAAAACUUCUUUAACAAUCAAUAUCUUUGUGGCGAAAUUGUGGCCAAUUUCACCGCAAAGAUCGAGUUAUGGCAACAAGAAUAUUAUCUAUACUGCCAAUGUGUAUUUUUAACUAUUUCUUUACCAUUUUGCUAAAAAUCUGUCGUUCCCAAAAGGCAUUUUUAAGUUACGCAGUUAAUUGCAACGUUAUGAAAAUUUCGAUAUCAAAUGCCGAAUCAUUAAAGUUUAGAUGAUCAUCCGCGUACAAAUGAGCUAAAGUCUGGGAAAUUUCCGUGCAUUUAUCCCAAUUUUACAUGCGAAAUCCUCACAAAAAUUCUUUACCAAUCAAUAUCUUUGACCAAGUUAUGGCAUGAGGAAUACUAAUCUAUAUUGCAAAGAGUGGAUUUUUAACCAUUCCUCUACCAUUUGGCUAACAUCCGCCGCUCCGAAAAAGGCAUUUUUAAGUUAUGCUGUUACUUGCAAUGCUCUGAAAGUUUCGAUAUCAAGUGUCGAAUAUUUAAAGUUUAGAUGGUUUUUUCACGCAUUUAUCCCCAUCACGCUAUGCUGAACGCAAAACCCUUGGUUUAAUUCCUCUACCAAACAAUUAUCUCUCAUAAUUGUUAGCAAGCAAGAACGGAUCAGAGAAGCAAUCACCCGAUGUCGAGGACGCGGCACGGCCCGGAGAUCGUCCUCUCCACGGCGAGCCGGAACGCGCGGUUCCGCUCUGCGUCGUUGAGCAUGUCGAGGUACGAGGUCGUCGCCAUGGUCGUCGUCGAUGACCUCGUCCUCCUCUUCUCCUCCUCCUCUACAUCGUCGUCGUCUCCGUCGACGACGACCCACUCCGAGUCUCCUGUGAGGGGGUUGAGCUGGAGCUGGAACGCGCGAACCCUAGCCCCCGGCGGCGCCGCCGCCGCGGCGGAGGAGGCGAGGAGCGACAUGAGGUGGACGGAAAAGCCCCUGGAGGAGGAGGAGGGAGAGGGGAGGAGGGAGCGGAGGGUAGAAAUGGAAAUUGGGGGUUUGUAGGAAGAGAGGAGAGAGCUCCGCAUGGGCCGAAGAGGAGAGAGAGAGAGAGAGAGAGAGAGAGAUGUUGUUUUUGUGAGGAAUAGUGUAAUAGGAUUUUGGAAGAAAAAAUUAAAGGCCAAUUUGCAUAAAAAAAAUUCACUAAUUUUGGACUUUUACAAAAGUGGACCAUCUUUUUUAUUUUUUAUAGAUUCAGUCUGAUUUUUCAGCAAAUUAACUAAAAUGUCCUUAUACCUUUUUUUCUUCUUUUUUUUUGUCGUUCUUUUUUUCUUUCUCUUCCCAGAGAGCGGCAGAGGCGGAAACGCCACCCCUGCCCCGACGACGUCGCCCUCGCCCUCGCCAACUCCGGCGACGUCACCGGCAACGAGCCCCUCUCCUGUGCCUCGACCCGAAUCCUCCGACCCUGCUGAGGCCGCGCCGCCAUCCUCUUCUCCCUAAGGCACGGCGACGUUGAGACGCAUGCUCUUCUUCUCCACCACGCGUCGGAACGCCGAGACAUCGUCAUCACCUCCGACGACGUCGCGGUGGUUGCGAUAGAAAGCAAGGGAGGAAAAGGUGGUAACAAAAAAAAAAAAUUAUAGAAAAAAAUAAAAAUAAUAAAAAUUAAAAUAAAAAUUAUUUUUUCUAUAAAAUAAAUUAAAAAAUAUAGGAAAAAAAAAAGAUGAUGAAAAUUACACUCUUAAAAUAAAAUUAUACUAUUUUAAAUAAAAUUUACACUGUUUUAAAGAAAAUUAUACUAUUUGAUAUAAGAAUUACACUCUUUUAAAAUAAAUUUUGCACUCUUUAGGCCUAGAUUGCACCAUUUAGAAAAAUUUUACACUAUUUUUUUUUCCCUCUUUCUCUUCUUCUUUUUCUUCUUCCUCUAGAUUGCACCAUUAGCUUUUUUUUUCCUCUUUUUCUUCUUCUUCUUCUUCUUCUUCUUUCCGCAGGAGCAGCACCCACCCUGGCUCUGGAGGCGGAGGCAGAGCGAUGAGGGUGUUGGCGAUGGUGGGGGCGGGGAGAGAGGUGGCGGCAGUGGCGAUCGGCCGAGUGGGUGCGGCAGCUGGGGAGGGCGUGGCGCCCGCCGCGCGAUUAAUGAUGGUGAACUCGACGCGGUCCUCCGGAAGCUGCCUCCGAUGCUGAAGCGCGACGAGGAGCGGGCGGAGGUCGCCGGCAGCCUCGGGCUCUCGCCCGACGAAAGGCCGAGGAGGUCGCGGCCGCUGUCAAAGCGGCCGGACUGGUUGAAGCGGGCAGCGGCGGCGGCAGAGAUCUUGGUCCGGCAGCUGGAGUGGGCGUCCAGCCAGCGGUCGAUGCACUCCAGAUGGAAGGCUGUCGGCAGCCCGCAGCAGCGGAGCAACUCGGCGUCGUAGUCGUAGCGGGACAAGCAGACGGCCACUCCAGCACACCCGCGCCCCGCGGAGGGCGGACAAUUCGAAGAACGGAAGCGAUCCGACGACGGUCUUGUCGAUGCCGGAGGAACUGCGGAGUCCGCCGCUUCCGACGGCGACAGCGGCGGCGGCGGCGUCGUCGGGUGGAGGGCGGGAGAGGCAAAGAGGUUGGUGGCGGGUGGCAGAAUUUGGCGUACAUGAGAAGAGAAGAGGAGAGGAAGAAAGAAAAGAAGAAGAAAAAGAAAAAAAAAAAAAAAAAAAAAGGAAGCUUCUCCUGCAGGAAGAAGAAAAAAGAGAAAGAGGAAAAACAAAAAAGAAAACUGUUUCUGCAGGAGAAAGAAGAAAAAGAAGAAGAAGAAGAAGAGAAGAAAGAGGAAAAAAAAAAGUAGUGUAAAAUUUUUCUUAAUGGUGUAAUCUGGGUCUAAAGAGUGUAAAAUUUAUUUCAAAAUAGUAUAAUUUUUAUAUCAAAUAGUGCAAUUUUCUUUAAAAUACUAUAAAUUUUGUUUAAAAUAGUGUAAUUUUAUUUUAAGAGUGCAAUUCUCAUUAUCUUUUUUCUUCUCCUAUAUUUUUUAAUCUAUUCUAUAGAAAAACUAAUUUUUAUUUUUAUUUUUUAUUCUUAUUUUUUUCUAUAAUUUUUUUUUUGUCAUCACCUCUUCCUCCCUUGCUUUCUAUCGCAACUACCGCGACGUCAUCGGAGGUGAACGCGUAGUGGAGAAGAAGAGCCUGCGUCUCAACGUUGCCGGGUCGAGGCAGGGGAGACGGGCUCGUUGCCGGCAACGUCGCCGGAGCGGGCAAGGGCGACGUCACCGGAGAAGGGGGUGGCGUUUUCGCCUCCGCCGCUCUCUGGAACGAGAAAAGAAAAAAGAACGACAAAAAUAAAAAAAAGGAGAGAGAAAAAAAGUACAAGAACAUUUUGAUCAGUUUGCUGAAAAAUCAAACCGAAUCUGCAAAAACGAAAAAGAUAACCCACUUUUGCAAAAACCCAAAAUUAGUAGAUUUUUUAUGCAAAUUGGCCAAAAAUAAAAACAAAAAAUAAAUACAUUUAUACAACUUUGAGACUCGUACUACCCACAAAAUAGAUGCUGAACAGAUUGGCGAGCACUAGCUUUAACCUCUUGGUGCACAUUUAAUCCUCUUAACCCAAAAUAUUACAGUCGAAUUAAAAAAUUUAAUAUUCUAUUAUAUUAUAAAUAAUUAUUUCAAAUUCUGGGAGUAAGCACUUGUCAAAAGUGGUGCAACCAUUUUACAUUUACACAAAAGCAAAAGUAAUGCAUCCAAGCAAAAGUACAGAGAUUUUACUGCCAUGAAUGUAAAUUUUUCAGCCUUACAAAGCACAACAAAAGCUGAGUUAGUUCUCCACAAAUCGCAAUCAACACAUCAUGUUUCAUUAACGGAAAAUCACUUCCAGAGAAGUGAUUCCUACAUAAUCUUGAUCAAAUAAGUGGAUAGUACUUCUUACUGGUCACUGCUGUUGGAAGCACUGGUAACUGUUUCUUUGUCAGAAGCUCGGCGAGACACUCCAGUAAACGAAGAUUUUUAGAAGUGGAACACCAAUAGAGCUUUACUCAAAAAAGUAUACCAAGAGAACACAAUAAUGAGAAUUCGUAAAACAGAUUUAAGAAAUGUAGUACUGGGGUUCAGACAUAGCAAAAAUAAGUGAACAAAAAGCCUUACGAGGGGGGGGGGGGCUUUGAAGUCUCCGGUAAAGGAAAGAAUCCACAGCAACUAUCAGUAGGAAAAAGAAAGAGGAAAAAGACGCCCUAAUUCGACACUCAAUCUCACCAAACUAAUCCUCACAACAUCAUUUGCGCGAAACAAAAUUUUCCUGUGGGGGAAUUUGACUUUCCAUCGAUCUGGCGUUUAGCUCUUCGCGCUUUGCUUUUCCUUCGCCUUCUGGAUCUUCAACACCUUCUUGACGAUCUUCUGCUCCUCUACCAGGAAAGCCCGAAUAAUCCUACACAAAAGGAAAAAAGUAAAUCAACUAAAAUGAUAAAGUUUUGCCCUACAAAGACCUCGGCUACCAACUAACAAGUAUAUGGUCGCCUAUUAGGUGUUCCUACAGUCUCCUAUGAUUGAUUUUAGUACUCAAAAGAAAAACGAUUGUUUUAUCAAUUAAUCCGAAUACCCUGAUCGUUAAACGAUAUGGUAUGAUCUUUGUAUCUACGUAGUCGUAAAUACGAAAAUUGAUUGUAUGUCAGAGAAAACCAUAGAGAAUCUUGUUAUAAAGAACGCUCCUUUAGUAAAAAAUAAUACGUAAAUCACAAAAACUCGAGUUGCUCAGAAAUUUUUCAAAUUUUACGAAGUAUAAAGAACGUUAGUCCACUUGAAACCUUCCUGUAUAAUAUAAUCAAGAUCAGCUGUUCAAAGACUACUUGUUACAUGUUAGGAAAAAACAAGAGGAACGUCUAAGGAGUGGAUUCUGGACGACUUAUGUUCUCCAGCUCCAACCGCUCCUUGGCUUCCUGGCACUUGGCGCGCAUGCCACCCCAAAAUAGACCUUUUCGACAAUCCCUUUCCAUUCAUGAUUCAUUAGUAACAAUCAACCAUCGGCUCCAGAAACAUCCCGUUUUGAAAUAGUAAAAUCAACUAAAUAGACCUUGGCGCGCAUGCCACUCCAAAAUAGACCUUUUCGACAAUCCCUUUCCAUUCAUGAUUCAUUAGUAACAAUCAACCAUCGGCUCCAGAAACAUCCCGUUUUGAAAUAGUAAAAUCAACUAAAUAGACCUUGGCGCGCAUGCCACUCCAAAAUAGACCUUUUCGACAAUCCCUUUCCAUUCAUGAUUCAUUAGUAACAAUCAACCAUCGGCUCCAGAAACAUCCCGUUUUGAAAUAGUAAAAUCAACUAAAUAGACCUUGGCAAUAGCGACACCAUCUGCCUCNNNNNNNNNNNNNNNNNNNNNNNNGGAACAAUAAAUAUGCUCUACCACCUUAGCUAUGGUUGCCUGCUAGGGCAUGAAUUGACGUGACCCAGACACAAACUACCAUCUCAUCAGAGCGAAAAGCUAUAGAAUCUAGAAAUGCAUUCGCCAAAUAUUUGCUCUAGAGUCGCAAAAUUGGAUGGAAGCAUUAUAUUUCAAAGGCACACAGGGAAACCAAACAUCAAACAUAUGUUAAGGCACUACAAUUCCAUAUAAAAAUAUAGCGCUUGUGUCCGUACACAGGUCCUGCGCAUGCUUGUGCACAUUCACGAUUCAACUAGGUAACAAUGUACAUACCUUACAUAACCUAUAGUUAAACUAUAGCACAUUUUUAUAUGGGCGCCUAAGCUUCAAAAACUUCUGAUUAUACUAUCUCACCUUUCAUUAGUUUUCAUUUUGCAAAAUUCUGUUAAAUUAUAGAAUAUUCCAUCGAGUAAUGAACUACUUUGCAAAUAUUGUGCUGAAAAAGUGAAAAAGGAAACACCAUUAAGUUCUAAUAAGGAUUAAAAUGCAUAGACGCUCCCUUUUUGACUUUGAUCACGCAAAUCUCUCGUGCAUGCUUAUUUUGAUUCUAACAUAAUCUCCAAAAUUGCUAAAAAGGGAGCUAAAUCGAACAAUUAGUACAUAGAGUGGGUGUAAAUCAAACAACUAAUAGAGUAGAGGGGGCAUAAAUCAAAUACAAAAAGUUCACAGGUCAUUUUUAAAAUGGAUUAAAGUUCAGGGGGCGCCUAAUAUCUGUACAGUUUAACAUGUAACUAGGUUAUAAUUACAUCACAUAAAUUGUGAAGUUAGGUAGUAAGCAGGCUAUUUGACCCACAUUCUAUUUCCACUUUCAGCUACAACCACCUCUAGCAGAGCCAUCAACAAAAUAUGAAUGUUUAGAACUUUGGUUGCAGCAGAAAACUGAAAUUUGUUGAUAUGAAUGUUUAGAACUUUGGCUGCAGCAGUAAACUGAAAUGAAAGAGUCUAUUGAGGAAAUUCACAUUACGUGGUUCUCAUACUGGCGCUACAAAAACAAAACUGCACCAUAUAGCACUACACACCUACAGUAGGACCAAACAAGCCCUCGAGUCAAAACUUCAGAUACCCAUUUCAAAGUGGUGUAUUCGAAGUGGCUACAGUUCAUGUAAGGUUUAUACAUCUUUUCUGAUCAACUACCCAACUCAAAGAAAUCCCAUAGUUUAGUUAGAUUUCACUGGGAUAAAGCUCUUAUACAUACAGCAGUUAAUAUCUUAGAAAUGAUAUAACUGAAGCAAUAUAAAGAUACAUUAUUUUCCAACUACGCGUGAAUCCUACAAAAUGGUAGUCCCAGUGGAGGUGAAAGAAUCAUGCGAGAAACUAACCAUUCAUCCAAUUCUCUAUUCUGUUAAUUCGACAAGGCUCAUAGUUCCUUACAUACACAAAUUGCAAUCCAUCAUAGGACCGUUUGGAUUUUAUGCAGUAACCCGAAAAUCUAAUUCUCUUCCUCAUUAAGAGAUCUUAUACUCAUUUAUCAUACAAAUAAUAACAUCCUAAAUUACAUGAAAAUCCUACACAUUUAUAUGUGCAAUGAUGGGAACAAAAGUAUAUCUUUAGAGAUCAAGGGAUCAGAUUACAUACUCCUUGGAUCCUCUUUCCGGUGACGGGGCAUUUGGGUCCACUGGCCCUCUUGUUCGUGUACUGGUACACGAGCCUCCCACCUACAAAUCCAAAUCCAACACAUCCCCCAUUACCACCACCACCAAUUCACAUCGAAACCGCAGCGAACGAUUCGAACGAGUGAAAAACCCUUGGAAAAGGAGAGCGGAAACAAAAGAUCGGAUCUUUCACCUGGGGUUUUCACAACCCUAGUUUGGUUGGAUUUGGUGGCGUAGCUGUGGCGCUUCCGAUAGGUUAAACGCUGCACCAUGGCGACCACUUCUUCUUCUCCUCCUCCUCUCCUACGAAGUGGGCGGCGUCGCUAAGAAACCCUAGAGGCUAGAGGAAGGAGAAGAGAGACUAGGGUUUGGUAUUUAUAGAGGGGCGGUGCGUGAGAUCACAUAGAUCGGACGGUUCAGGAUUUAUUGAUCCGACGGUCGAGAUUCGUUUCAGGUCUCCGGUUCAUUUUAGCAUCCCUUUUUUCAGUUUAAAAAAAAUCUGAGAGAAUAUAUAUAAAACAAAAGUUUAAAAUUCGUAGGAAAUAAUAUUUUUAUUUUGAAUUCAAAGUGUCAGAUUUAUAAAUCAAACAAACUAAAUAUAUCUAAAAGAUUGGAUAGUUACAUCAAACUUAGUGCUUGUCUCAAAAAUCAGGACCUUUAUAUAAAAUUAGCUAAAUUAAAAAAAUCAAACUUUUUAACAAAAUAACUCUCUAAAAUUUUAUAAUUUGCGAAAUAACUUUGUCAAAUUUGUAUUUGACAAACUAACCCUCUCUUCACCAGGGUAUUUUGAGAGUCAUCCAGAUCUUCUAAAAACGGUUAACGAUUUAUCGUCUUCAUAAUUAUUAGAAUUGUACGUGGAAUAUAGAAGAAUAGAAAAAAAAAAAAAUCAGAUUGUUAGGAUGAUUAUUAGAAUUUUUAAUUGAUUAUUAUGAUUAUAUGCAUAGAUUAUUAGAAUUUUUAGGUUAUUAGGAUUAUAUGUGAUUUGUUGAAAUUUUUAUAUGGCUGGUAAAAUUAUAUAUAAGAUAUAAAAAGAAAUAAUAAUAAUAAUAAACAAAAAAGGGUAAAUGAUUUAUUGUUUUUGUCGAAAAUUAGAAAGGCAAUGAAUCGUCAACCGUCUUUAUAAAUAUGUCAACUGUUUUUAAAUGCCGUGAAUCGUUCACCGUCUUUAAGAGAAAAUUCCAACGUGGCUCCUACAUGGCAAAAGAAAGGUUAGUUUGCCAAAAAAAAAUUUCAUAGGGUUAGUUACCUGGAUAGAAGAUUUUAUAGAGUCAUUUCGAAAAAAAAAAAUCUUCAAAACGACUUUAUAAAAUUUUUUAAUUGGGUAAUAACCAUAUGGAAAAAAUAAAUUGGCAAAUUAAUCAUUCUUUUGUCAUGUAAGAGCUGUUGAAAAUUUUUCUUAAAGACGGUAAACGAUUCACUAUCUUUAUAAAGAUGAUUAACGAUUCAUCGCCUUCCCAAUUUUCUACAAAAAUAGUGAAUCAUUCGUCGUCUUGCUUAUUUACUAUUUUUUUUCUAUAUCUCAUAUAUAAUCCUAACAAUCGCAUAAAAUUUUCAACAAAUCACAUAUAAUUUUAAUAAGCUGAAAAGUCCUAAUAAUUUAUCCAUAUAAUCCUAAAAAUCAAAUAAAAAUUCUAAAAAUCCACAAUUAUCUAUUUCCCAUAUAAUCCUGAGGCCCGGGAGACUUUUAUAAUGCGGUAAACGAUUCACUGCAUUUUGGAAAAAAAAAUCCUACGUGGCUCCUAUUUGGUGAAGAGACGGUUAGUUUGCCAAAUAUAAUUUUGGCAGGUUUAUUUCACAAAUUAUAAAAUUUUAGAGGGUUAUUUUAUAAAAAAACAGUCCUACACUUUAGUGAUCG
rnacentral:lncRNA from 1 species